ACAGGUUGGCUUCCCGUGAUUUGCUCAGCUUUGUCCGUCAACUUGGAGGGGGGGUCGAUUCCGAGCUCAAGAAGUGGGAAAGAAAGCUGAAGAUGAUUCAGGCGGUGCUCAACGAUGCAGAGGAGAAGCAACUGACGGACGAGGCUGUGAAGAUGUGGCUGGACGAUCUCCAAGACUUGGCUUAUGACGCUGAGGACAUUCUUGAUGAGUUUGCUACUCAAGCUUUGGAAAGCAAGUUGAUGGCGCAAAAUCAGGAUAGCUCUGGCCAACUUCUCAGUUUCAUCCAGGCUAGUUUGAAUCCGAAUGCUAUUAUGUUCAAUUAUAGCAUGGGGUCCAAGAUUAAAGAUAUCACUAGCCGGCUGGAGCAACUCUGCCAAGAAAGAAUUGAACUUGGACUGCAACGGAUUACUGGAGGGGCAUCAUCAACUACUGCUGCUGCACACCAGAGGCUACCCGGUUCAAUUGUCCCAACAGAACGUGAAGUAUUUGGAAGAGAAGAAGAUAAGGCCAAAAUUCUUGAUAUGGUAUUGGCCGAUACCCUAAGUGAUCAUGCCAACUUUGCUGUAAUACCCGUUGUUGGCAUGGGCGGGAUAGGAAAAACAACUCUCGCUCGGGAGGUUUACAAUGACAAGGCCGUUGGCGGUUCCAAGUUUGAUGUAAAAGCAUGGGUUUGCGUAUCUGAUGUCUUUGAUGUUUUGGGCAUCUCAAAGGCACUUCUCGAGUCAAUCACCCGCAGGCCUUGUCUUCUAAACAGUUUAAAUGAAGUGCAGGUUGAAUUGAAAGUAGCUGUGGAUAAAAAAAGAUUCUUGCUGGUCUUAGAUGAUGUUUGGAACGAGGACUACAGCUUGUGGGUAGACUUAAAAGCUCCGUUCCUGGCUGCUGCACCAAACAGUAAGAUGAUCGUCACCACACGCAAUUCAAAUGUUGCAUCAACAAUGGGACCAAUUGAACAUUACAAUCUCAAGAGUUUGUCAGAUGAUGAUUGUUGGUCCAUUUUCAUAAAGCAUGCAUUUGAAUAUAGAGAUCUUAACGCACAUCAAAUUUCAGAAUCGUUCCGCGGGAAAGUUGUUGCCAAGUGUGGAGGCUUGGCCCUGGCAGCAAAAACACUCGGAGGCCUUCUGCAUACGACGAGGCAUGAUGCGUGGGAUGAUACGUUAGAGAGCAAAAUAUGGGAUUUACCUCAACAAAGUGGGGUUCUCCCCGUAUUAAGAUUGAGUUACCAUCAUCUUCCUUCUCAUUUGAAAAGAUGUUUUGCUUACUGUGCAAUCUUUCCAAAAGAUUAUGAAUUCAAUCAGAAGGAGCUGACUUUCUUAUGGAUGGCUGGAGGAAUUAUUCGACAGUCACGAAACAGUGAGCAGCUGGAAGAUUUGGGCAGCAAGUGCUUUCAAGAUCUAGUGUCAAGGUCUAUUUUUCAACAAACCAGCUCUGGUAGUUCUAAAUUUGUAAUGCCCUAUCUUAUCCAUGAUCUUGCUGAAUUGGUUUCUAGAGGGACCAUUUUCAAGUUAGAGGAGUCCACCAACUUGUCGUCGAGGAGAUUUGAAAGAGUUCGCCAUUCUUCCUAUGCCCGCGGUUGGCAUGACGGUAAAAAUAAGUUUGAGGUUUUCUAUGAAAUUGAACAUCUACUAACAUUCUUGCCAUCACGCAUAAGAGGUGGCACUAAUACGAGUUACAUAACUCGAACGGUUCUAUCUGAUUUGUUGCUGAAUUUCAAAAGUUUGAGGAUGUUAUCUUUACAAGGAUACUGUAUUGGUGAGUUACCAAUUUCAUUUGAAGAUUUGAGACUUUUAAGGUUUCUCAACCUUGCUUACACUGACAUAAGAAGUUAUCUGAGUCAACAUGCAAAUUGCUGAACUUGGAAAUUUUGAUAUUAAGAAAUUGUUCUCGUUUGAUAAAGCUUCCACCCAAAAUGAGGAAUUUGAUCAAUUUACGCCAUCUCGAUAUAAGAGGUGCGAAGUUGCUGAAGGAGAUGCCAUUCGGAAUGAAAGAGUUGAAGAAGCUUCAAACAUUGUCCAAUUUUAUUGUGGGCAAGGGUGAAACUGCAUCUUGUUUGGAAGAUUUAAAAUGUUUAAACUUUCUUUGUGAUAAACUUUGCAUUGCUGGAUUAGAGAAUGUUAAUAAUCCACAGAAUGCAAGAGAAGCCGCAUUAUGUGAGAAACACAAUCUUGAAGCAUUGACUCUGGAUUAGGGGUUUCAAUUUGACAAUUCCUGAGGAGUAGUAGAAGAGCAUGUACUGGAAAAUCUACAGCCUCAUAAAUGUAUAAAAAAGGUGGCGAUCCGGAACUAUGGUGGUGCAAGAUUUCCCCUUUGGAUAGGAGAUCCUUUGUUCUCCAGGAUAGAGCUCCUAAAAUUGGAGAACUGUGACAAUUGUGUAUCUUUGCCAUCGCUUGGCCUAUUGAGUUCACUUAGACGGCUUGCUGUUAAAGGGCUGAAUAAACUAAAAAGCAUAGGGUCUGAGGUUUAUGGGGAGGGUUUCUCAAUGCCUUUUCCAUCAUUGGAGAUUCUAAGUUUCGAGAAUUUGCCAGAAUGGGAGCAUUGGGACACCGAUGUCAAAGGAAAUGUGCUUGUUGAAAUAUUUCCUCGUCUCCAUCAACUUUCCAUUGUGGAAUGUCCCAAACUCUCGGGAGAACUGCCUGAGCUCCUGCCCUCCUUGGAGACACUUUUUGUUAGUAAAUGUGAAAAGUUGGUAGUUCCAUUGUCUUGCUAUCCGAUGCUCUGCAGAUUAGAAGUUGAUGAGUGCAAGGAACUAGCAUGCGGGACUCCAAUUGAUUUUAAGUUGAUAACGUCUGUGACUAUUUCAAAUAGUUCCUUAGACAUGAAUGGAUGCAAGGGGAUGCUAUACGAUGGUCCAGCUGGCUCUUCACUACCAAAGCCUAUGAUUACUACAAAUGUUUCGGAGUUUGGAAAAUUAUUGAAGCCUGGAUUUCAGAUAUUAGAAACUUUGGUAAUUGCCAAUUCUGAACAGCUCAAGUCAUGGAGGCAGAAUGGGGAUUUUCCGGAAAAAUACACGGCCCCUGAACAUAGGUUUAAGAAACCAGUACGAGGGCUGAAUAUGCUCGCUUCCCCUGAAGAGGUAACAAUUGAAGAAAGUUGCGUACGUCUUGUUUUGUUUCCAGAGAUCAAUUUCUUUCCCAGAAAUCUGCGCUCUCUUCUAAUUAACAACAACACUGCUUUCAAAUCCUUACCCGAGGAAAUGAUGGAAAACAAUUCACAACUCGAAAGGUUGUAUAUCAGAGAUUGCGACUCUCUAACAUUCAUCGCAAGACGGAGGCUACCAGCAUCUCUUAAAAGGCUUGAGAUAGAAAAUUGUGAGAAAUUGCAACGUCUGUUCGAUGAUGAAGAGGAUGCUUCUUCUUCUUCACCUUCACCCUCGUCUUCCCCAGUGAUGCUGCAACACCUGAGUAUAGAGAACUGCCCAGAGCUCACCAGUUUAUCAUCGGGUGUCCAAUUCCUUGAGGCGCUUGAAGACCUCGACAUACAGGGUUGUCCAAAGCUGGAGUCAUUACCGGAUGGCCUGCCCAAUCUUAAAUGUUUACAGAGCAUUUAUAUACGGGGAUGUCCAAGUCUUGUUUCCUUCCCAGAAAGAGGGCUUCCCAACACGAUUUCAAGGGUUGACAUUUGCAGUUGUGACAAGCUCAAAGCCUUGCCCAAUGAUUUGCACAAACUCAACUCUCUUCGAGAUUUAAGAAUACGGCUGUGUCGAAAUCUUGUAUCGUUUCCAGAAGAAGGUUUUCCUACCAAUCUAACAUCACUUACAAUUGGAAAUUUCAAAAUGUAUAAGACACUCGUCCAGUGGGGGUUGCACGGGCUUACCUCUCUUAAACGCCUCUCGAUCAGUGGAUGUCAUGAAGCAGAGUGUUUUCCAGACGAGGAGAUAGGAAUGACGCUGCCCACCUCUCUCACUCAACUGCUCCUUUAGGGAUUCGAAAAACUGAUAUCUCUGUCUUCGACGGGUUUUCAAAGCCUCAACUCUCUUCAAUACUUAUUGAUCUGGGGUUGCCCAAAUCUCACAUCAUUCCCAGAGGCGGGUCUUCCAUCCUCACUUUUGGAUUUAGGCAUUUACAAUUGUCCAAAGCUUAAAAGAGCGUGCAAAAGAGAUCAAGGAAAAGAGUGGCCCAAAAUUGCUCACAUCCCUCGCAUUGAGAUAGACAGAAAAUUCAUAUACGAUCCAGAAUCAGAGGAGUAGAUUCUAUUACAAAGGUCAGUUGAUUUCUAUUAUCCUCUAUAACAAGCUCCUCUUAAUUUUUUUUUUCUAAGUAAUAAUUUUGCAGUUCUGUAUAAUUAUUAAUCGUCUGCUCUUAAUUGAAAAUGUCACUCACUUGAUUCCGUUUUCACUAGUCAAAUUGUAUGUUGAGGCUAUUUGCUUUUUAAUUAUAACACUUAUCUUAAAAUUUAAUACCAAAUUUUUUUGAUUCACUUCAAUUAGCAUUUUGUUUUCCCCAAAUUAGGCAAGCCGAGAGCUUCAUUAACUAGAGUUUUUUAUUUUUCGGACCUUGCAUCUGAAAGGUUCAGUGUAUUUUUUUUUUUUUCAAAUUUAUUGUUCAGAUCUCAGACGAGUAUACGGUUUAGAUUACAAAACACCUAUGAUUAAUUUCUUUUUUUUUUUUUUAAUUUCAGGGAGAAGAAGUGGUCAGUUUCAAUCCGGAAUUGGAAUAUGGCAAUUUGGUUCAAGCACACACACCUGGUCACUUGGUCAGUGAACCUGAACUUUACGCAGUUUUUUCAACUCAGUGAUUUUUGGAACGCAUAUUGGUGUAAGGAAAUCAAUAGAAAUUUAUGCAUAGUCAAAUUCUGAUAUUUGCUAUAAUAUUAUACAUUCUAAAGUUUCUCCAGUUUGUUCUCAGAUUACCAUCAUUUUUUGCCUUCACCAAAAAAAAAUCGAGUGGCUUUCCAGUGGAUAUUUAAUCGGAGGUAUGACUGGAUUUUUUUCACUUCUGUAAAUCUUGCAUUUUAAACUGGCAAAUUUAACUUUAAUUUUAAUACGACUUGUUUGAGGGAAAUACUCCGACGAGACCAGACGUGAUGAGCAGAUGUUUGGUGGCAGAAGUCUGCGAGCAGGUGUGUCCUGUAAGAGCCAGGUAGCAGGGAAACAGGGGCAGAAAUAUCCUGCUCAUCCACGAGCAUGUCAUCCGCGAGGCCAAUUUCCUGUAAGAAACAUAAAGCCAUUCCUGCUGUAUUCUUGCUAAGGGUUGAUUCGAGGAGACCCGGUCAACGACAGUUGGCGAGGCAUGCUCUCCAGCCCGAGAAUCUAGGCACGAAGGCCACGCAACCACCCACGACUACGGAAAUGGGGAAUCCACGUUCGAGAGGUGGGAGGAUAACAGACGUAGACUGCGGAAAACUGGGAUUCAGAGGAAGCCUAUAAAAAGGUAGCCAACGAAGGUAAAAGGGUUAGCAAUUUUGAUUCUAAAAGAGAGAAAACAACCUAACAACCAUAAGAUUUUUGGCAAGCGUUCCCCGAACCUUCAUAUCUGACUUGAGCGUCGGAGGGUUUGCGCCGGGAAAACAACCGGCGUACUCUGACCUGUCUGUGUGCGCAGGAACCUCUGGAGAAGAAGCUUUACGAGGAGAGAUCCUGGUCGUGGUGAAGUUGAUCGAGCAGAGACCCUGGUCGUAGAACGAGGAGAACCAGAAUCUCGCAUCAACACGACUUUGUUGGUGCCUUGUGUUCCAGAAACUAGAAUGAUGUGUAGUUUUCAGAUUAAGGGGCUUGUAAAUUCUCUAGUAAGAAUCCAAUAAUUUGCUUUUGCACAUUCAUUUUAUUUGUGGAUCCUUGCAUCUGAAUUUGAUCAAUCCAAAAGGAAUUGCUUUUAGACAGAAGAAGAAUUGCAGUACCUAGCCUACGACAUAGUAAAUGGACCUGCAAACCUGUAACUAUUAGUUUGAGGUAAAAAAUUCAUGACCCUCACAUGUUAACUUCUUCUAGUUACUUUCAUCAAAAACACAUUUAAGAAAUUUGCAAUUUUUUGUUAGUUUUGUAUACCGAUGUUGUUUUCUGUUUUAGCAUUUGUAUAAUCUACUGUAUUAUAUUUUGGCGGUUGCAGUAUCUGAGGUAUCUUUUGCAUUUAACUUGCUUUAUUUGUUUUGCUUGUGACUUAAGAACACCAAUAUUUGCCAGAGAUUUAGAGAAGCAUAUCAAGAUGCUUGGCAAACUUGACAAACUUCAAGAUCCUUCAUUCUUCACGACCCAAAACUUGUGAGUACACUUAUGCCCGCAAUUAUUGUGAAACGCUUGCAAUUUUGAUGCAGCGAAAUGGUUUGUUGAUGCAAAGGUUUAAACUUUUAAGAUUUACACUGCAGGGUAGUUGGAUGCUGUAUAGUCGAACGGCCACCAACAUCAAGAACUAUAACUCCAAGACCGGGUUUGCAUUAAUUCAAUCAGCUGAAAUAAUGAUGCAAAUGACACUAUCAGCUGGACUUAGAGACCAGUCAGAUCAAUCAUCCUUUUAUCAACAGUUAAUGUCAUGAUGGUGUCUAUCGGAGGAAACAAAGGAUGUGUCGGAAUCAAUAUGAACAGUGAGAAGAAUGAGAGGAGCUUUGAUUAUAAGUAGGCUCAAUGAACUCAUGCUGGUAAGUGGUAAUUAAAGAAAUUUGUGCGCUUAGUAGCAUUCAAUAUUUUCUGUUUGGGAUAUAGUUGAUGAGUUGAUACUCUGAUUAAGAAGCCUGAUUAUAGUAGCUGACUUUUUUUUUGUGGUUUGCUGUUGUUUAUUCUUUCGAUUAAUUUCAACAUUAGGUUGAUCUGUUGAAGAACAAACUUGGGUUUGAUUAUGCUUUAACUACAAGGAAGAGCCAGACUUGGAUGCAGGCGUUCAGCUUUUAAUGGGUAAGAACAAAUGUAUGCUUUAACCAUGUUUCUCACUUAUUACAAUGCACACAUUGAAGGCAUCUGAGCUGAUCCUGAAAAUGUGAUGGAAAUACUUCUCUGUUUACAUAAAACAGACAAAUAGAGAUCUCUGAUCAUGCCUGAGAAUUCGUUGCAUUUAAAAUUUCUACCAUUGCCAAAAAUAGAAUAAACUACGGAUACAUUAGCUUAAGACUCAAUUUUGAGAAGGAAGUUUGCACAUGCAGCCUAAAAAAUCACGUCCGUGUUGUAUACUUGUAUGUUUCUUUGGGAAAUGAAAGAUUCUGUGUUCUUUUAUUUCAAGUUUGCUGAAAUCACAUUUGUUUUCUUAGAUGCUUUUGGGAAGGUAACAACAUCAAUUUCAUAAAUGCUGGGGUAAGAUGCAUCACGCAGUGCUACUCAACAUGAGAAUUCCCGGCCGCAUUACCUGUAUGUUGAGUGAUCGCACAGUACAACCUUUAGAAGCUUGUAAGGAGUAGACAACUAGAUGCGAAUAGUUUCAAUAUGGAUUCGCAUCAAAUGAUCUCUUGCCAGUGAUUACUAUAACCUCUAUCCCAAAAUUCUUGGAACUGGUCAUACCAAUAAUGAAGUAUUGUGUACGUUGAAGACGUAGCUCAAGGCCUUGCGAAAGCUCCGUCAGCCUUUGUAUUGGAAAACAGUUGGUUGUAGUUGCUUCUGAAUGAUAUUAUUAAUAGAUACUGUAAAAAUGAAGUGUGCCACUCAUUUUCAGAGCCCUGUUAAGAUGUGUUGGUAAUGUGUUUGAAGGUUGUUUGAUUUGUGUUGUAUUCAGCUAUAAAUCAAAGAUUCAGAACAUGGUUAUGUUACUGGUUUCCAAAUAAAAAAAUUGCCUUGUGAUGUUAGUGUUCAUUGUUUUCACAGGAGAUCAGGUUCCCUGUUGAUGAAUCAAGAAGGCAAACGCAUCCAUGCCUUAAGUUCAAAUGUGUCUCUUCUAUUUUCUAUUACUGACUCCUUUAUUUUGAUUUCUUCAUUGUAAUGGAAUUGGUUUUCAUUCCAAAUUAGUCAAAACCUCCUAGAGUCAUUAAGUUCUGUUAGCAUUUGAAGAUAGAACUAGAACUAAAUGAUUGACUGGAUUAAAUUCCGAUAAAGAAUUAAGUUAUGUAUUUAGAGAUAUUUUGUUUUUUUUUUCAUUUGUUCAAUUUGGUUAGUGGUGAUUUCUUAAAGACUCAAUCCAUGUGCGUUUAUGCAUUUUUCUUUUGCCUUAAUUUCUGUUUCUUGGGGAGUUUAUACAGAUUCUUAUUUUAUGCUUCACAUGCCACAUGAAAGAUCGAAGCAUUUUGUGUGAUUAGAACUGACUUGCAUCACAGUAACUUUAAACCACUGCCACAUUUUUAUAAUAACAGUCUGAGAUCUCCCUGAAGGAUUCAAAGCAUUUUAUUUUAUAUUAACCUCCUUUAAGUGGGUUUCGACACUACCACAAGUUCUUUAAAUACUAAAACGAUUUUGAGUCUUUUGUAUCAUCUGAUUGAAAUACCUGAAAGCACUCGUGGCUGCAAAAAUAUAUCGAUUUUGAGUAUGGCGUGCAUGUAAAUUAUAUCGAUUUUUUCUAUAUGACAAGUAAGACUCUCUUUUACAAUGGCACGGAUGCGUCAUUGAGUAAUCAUGAUUCUUGCUGGUAGUGCUUUGUUGUAUCAAUCUGCUAGCUAUUCAGCUUUCUUUCUUUCUUUCUUCUUUUUUUUUUUUUUUUUUUGUUUUCAAAUAGCUUGUGGUUGUAGAAAUAUUUCAAUUAAACUAUACUUAAGUACUUAUUUAGUAUAACUUCUUUACUAGCCAAAAUAAUUUUUUUUUGGUUUUUUAUAAUUUAAUUAUACUUUAACUAGAGUUUUUGGGAUUAAACAAGUGAUAAUUUCUCUCUAUUAAGAAAAACUCAAAAUUUUUUAAUUACUAGAAUGCGUCUAAAUUAAAUUACAAUUAUAGACACUAAAAUAUAGUAAAUUUUUUUUUUUACUCUUUAAAACUGUCUUUACAUUCGAUAUCAUAUUUUUUUCUUAAAAUCUAAAUUGAUAUUUUUAUUUUAUUUUUGAUUAAUCUUAGAACACAUAUAAAGUGAUUCAUAUUGAUUUUAUACUAACAAACUAUCAUAGCACAUUCGAAAAUAAUUAACUCGUUCUUAUUUGCAUAGUGAAAAAGGCAAAUAGCUCACCCAAAUGUUAAGGAACUGGAGAGCUGCUGCUGGAGACGAAAGGAUGUGAAAAGCAUGGUAAAGAAAAAUUGCAUAAUUCUCACUUAGAAGAGGAAGAAAAAAAAAAUACAAUUAGAAUGAGAGGUAGCCAGUAGCCAGUAGCCGCCACCACCACCAGUCAAACUAUUUCGACACACUAAUACUGUAAUACAUAUCAAAAUGCAAUAUCGGUCCUAACAAAAUGAAAAUAAAAAUUCAUUACGAAUAUGUGUUAAAGAUAUCCCAAGUAUUGAUGUGAUUGAAAUAUUUGAGAUUGAAGUAGAAAUAAGACUCAAAAUCAAUUGAGAGGAAUAAAUGAGAAACUCUAAUACUAAUAAAAUAUAUUCACAAAUCCUAAUGCUAAUUAAAAUCACGGAUUAAAAAAAAUAAUAUGAAUGAAUUACAGGCGCAACUGUUUCAUUAAAAAAUUAAUAAAAUCGUGUAUUAAUAUUUUGUACACAUACAUUUUUCCAUAUAUAACUUUUGGUAAUUUAGUUUUCCACUUAUCAUUUUUACUCCAAAAAAAUAAUUGAGAAUAUUAUUUAUGUUUUGGUGCAAAAUAUUUAAACAACAUAAAAAUUUUCAGUUUAAUAAAUCUAAACAAUUCUCAAGUUAUAAAUGAAUUUAAUGGGUUUAAUUAGUAAAAAUACUAUUAUUUUAUAAAUUGGGUUUAGUAAUGGUAUAUUGGGUAUUUAAAUGGGUUUGUUGAGUAAAUUUUAAAAUUUUAAAGUUCAAGGGUAGGUUUAUUUAGUAAAUGGGUUAAUGCAGCAAUUUUCAAACUAAAUUUUUGGAAAAAGAGGCUAUUGAGUUUUUUUUAAGAAAAAGAAUUAAAAUGUUGAGAAUACCUUUAUUUAAUUUUAUAAUCUAAUUUUAAAAAAUUUACCCAAUAAAUUUUAUAAUUUUUUAUAAAAAUUAUCAUUAACAUCCAAACAGCUGAAGAUUAAAAAAAAAAAAAGAAGGGAACUGUACUAGCAAAAGUUAGAUUAACAAUAAAUUUAGUCCAAAGAAUAAAGUUAUAGCUAAAAAGUGCUCCUAUCCUAUUUUUCUCUAUUUUAACAAUAAUCUUCCAAUCCAUUUUACAAUGGACUUAACAAAUGGGCUCAAUCUCUAAACUUCAUUUUCUUUUGCUAACCCAUGGCCAUUAGCCAGAAAGCCUAAAACAAUUUUAGGAUCACAUGUGUAAAUGGAACCCCAAGAUUGAUCAAGAAUUAACAAGACAAGAUGAAGAGAUGAUCUUGUAACUAAGAAUGAAGAAAUUGAAUCAAGACAGUACUCUAGUAAAACCCAGAAAACAGAGCUUGAAGAAUCACGCACAAAGCAGUAAAUUUGUAAAACCAGAAUUGGAGCUUCACUUCUCAAGAUAGACGAAACAGGAUACAAUCUAGCUUUGGUCAACUUCGUUUGGCCACGUCAUAAAGUCUUCCCCCACAGUCUUUCCCGCCAAAACAGAAAAGCUUUAAAAGCCAUUUACCCUCCUGAGUUACUUGCUCCUAUUACAUCAAGGCCCUGUAAGUCUAUAUUUAUUAUUACAAAAGCACCCUUAAACCGAGAUUUGAGAUAUUUUUUCAAAGAUCGAAGCGCAUGAUUUCACGGCUAUGUUGCAUAGUGAAUUUUAGUGCUUUACAGUUAAGGGAUAGUUUAAAUUCAUUACAAAGCAUUCGCAAAGAAAUUGUUUUUAAAUGAAACUCCUCGUCUUGACCAGAUUAUUUAUUAUUAUUAAAAAAAAAAUGUUCAAAACUUAGCCAAAGUGAUAAACUCGUAAUUAUUCUACAAAGGGAACAAUUUUGAACGGUGGGAAAUUCCAUAAUUAUGCUUUUCUGUGAAUUAUUUUAAAUAAAAUUAUAAAAAUUAAUAUAAAAUUAUAAUAAUGAUAGAGCCACAAACUCUUGUACAAAUUUAUUUUAUACAAACUCAUGUGGCAUGAUAAGAUUGGUUGAAUUAAAUAUUACUUGGCCCACAUGAUUUGUUUUUAUUAUUUUAUAUUUUUAUUCAACCAAUAAAUUAAUACCACGUCAGUUUGUACAAAAUAAAUUUAUACAAAAAUUUGUGACUCGAUCAUCACUCAUAAAAUUAAUACCCGGUAAAGACUGUAGAGAGACAAGUGCCCCCAACAGAAUCAAGUGAAUAUGCCCCACAAAGAUCACAUGAUCAUUUCUGUUCUUUUUCUUUUUGAUAAUUUUAUCUGUGGUUUCAACUUUUAUGCUUUAUUGUCGUAUCCCGUUGAGGGCUCCGCUGCACCCAUUACAACUUACCCCUAAAUUGCCUCUUACUAACUAAACCGUUAGAUUUUAUGGAAGCACGUUCAAUGUUGAAUUUUAAUUAUGUCAUCGAAUUUCGUUUAGCUCCUUAAACUCCAUUUUAUUUGUAAUUUCUUCAUAAAAUAUUCAAAGCUUCAUCAAGCUCCUGAUGGACCAUCAUGGCUAGGGGUGCAUUAGAGCCGAACUGAAAUAUGUUAGUUCAGUUCAGUUUGGUCAGUUUAAAUCGAAUGGUUUAGAAUAUAUAAACUGAUCAAUUUUAAUUUUGAAUUGAACCGAACCGAAAAUCAAUUGGUUCACUAUUAGUAUUUUUGUAUAAACAAGAAUGAUUAGUGAUUAUAAUUAAAUUGGACUAAAAAAAAUUCAAACUAAGGUGAAAAAUAUCAAAUCUUAGACAAUAUAAAAAAAAAUAUUAAAUUUUUUUAACCGAAACGAACCGAAUUAUUUUGACUCAGUUUGGUUCAUAAUUUUUUAAACCAAACUGAUUUAUUCCCACCCCCUAAUCGUGGCUCUCUAUCUUUAGUCAUUCACCCUUGAGUUUGAUGCCAAUUGUUGGGUUUCAAAUGAUUAUACACUCAAAUGGAACCCUCAUAACAAAAAACUAACAGAAACAAUAAGAACACGAUGUUAAAAUCUUAAAUCAAUCGCAAAAAAGCACCCAAAACAGAUCGAUUAGGAACAGUUAAGAACAAAAGAUUUGAUGGUUCAAAAUCAUAAUGUGACCUACGUACUUUCAUCCAAGAAUCAUACUAAUUGCUUUACUAGUUGUCAAACUCAAGAUCACAAGAUUGUUUAUCACUCUACAUAAAAAUUUUUUUUAGAAGAAAUACUCCCCAAUUUUUCUCUUAAUAGUUAUGAAUCAACACCCCUAGGAAGCCUGUUGAUUUACUUUUCCUUAUUUCCUAUGAUCGGUUGCUGCAACUUAAUCCUUGCCAAGCUCCAACAUAGUCCAAACACUUUUAACGGUACAGGCAUAGUGCACCUUCAGAAACUUUACAGCUCCUCUUAAAACCUCAGGCAUCGUAAGCACAUUAAGCAGCCGACAACACUCUUCUUCAUUUCUUCAUUGUCAAUUUCCUUCUUGGAACAUUGCUCCAUUGAGAGUCUGCUAGAAUUGCUCCAAUUAUUAUUAUUAUUUAAAAAAAAAAGAAAACCCUGCAAUAAGAGUAUAAGACUAAGCAACGGUCCUUUUUUUUUCCCCAUUCUUGAACCUAAAGUAUUUGAGUAUGCAAAUUAAUAAAUAAAUUCAUUUAUUUUUAUUAAAAUUUUGUAAAAUUAUAAUUUUUAAUAAAAAUAAUUAUUAAAAUUUUGUAAAAUCUAAAUUUAGAAAAAUUCAGUUGGGCACCUCUAUUUGAGAUUUAUUUUUUAUUAAAUUUAGGGAUAUUUUUAUAAUUAUAAUUUUUAAUUUUAAAAGUUUUUAUAAGAUAAAAUAGUCUUUUAAUUUAUUUAGGGGGUAAAAUUGGUGUUUUAUUAAAAUUAUUUAAUUGUGUUAAUGCAAAAGUGGCUAUUUGAUACAAAUGUGAAAAGAAAGGUGGUGCAAAAUAUAUGUUAAAAUUUUAUAUUGGUUGGAUGAACAUAAGCUAAAAUAAAGGUGGUGCAAUGAUAAUUUCCCUAUCCUAAAACUUAAUUGACUUAAUUCUUACGGUGCAAGGAAGAGGUUUCCAAGUUUAAAUCUAAAGGCUUGUAUUUAAUUUGGGGUUGGGAAAGCACUGAGAAAUAAAUGUAACUAAGGAAAAAAAAAAAGUCACGCAGUCCAAAUAAGUAGAUAUAUUUAAUAUGAGGUGGGGAUGGGUGAACUGUAAUUCAGAAAAAAAUAAAAUAAAAUUUUAUAUAAAGUUGAGGGUGUGUUUUAAUGGUUUCUUAUGCUGCGUUUAUUUUUUGGACUAGAGUGAGAAUUCUAAAAAGUGAGAAUCCUAUGAUUAGGUGUGUGGAGUGGGAGUGGGAGUAUGGUAUUUACUUAGACUAAAUAAAAGUAUGGAUUGUCAAUCAGAAUCUCAAUUAUUUGUUACUUUGUCUUGGAUUGAGAGUAAAUUAUUUUAAAUUACAAUUUUAUCCUUAUGUAAAGAAUUAUAAUUUGUAAUUAAAAAAUUAAUAAAAAUAUAUUGGAAAAUAAAAUAAAUAUUUUAUUAUAUUUAUAAAAUAAUAAUAAUUAAUAAAAUUCUUAAUUAUGUAAAUCAUAAUUUUUUAUUAAUUUAAAUUUAAAUUAUGUGAAUAAAAUUAUUAAUAAUAGCAACACAAAUGAAACAUUAUUAUUAAUAAUAUAGUAUAAAAUUAAUAUUUUUUUAGAAUAAAAUAUUUAUUAUUAUUAAAUAAAUAAAUAAUAUUUAUUAAAAUUAAUGUUUAAUAUUAUUAAUUUAAAUAUAAUAUUUAUUUAUUUUUAUUUUAUUUUAUUAAAUUUAAUAAAAUAAAUAUGUUAUAAUUAUUAUUUUUAAUAAAUAUGAUAUUAUUUAUUUUAUUAAAUAUUAUUUAUUUAUUUUAAUUAUGAGGGUAAAAAUGGAAGAGGGGGAGUGGAUUCCCACUCCCACCUCCCCCCAUGGGAGUGGGAAUCCCACUCUCCCCUUAAAAAUGGUAAGUAAAUAUUAGAAUGGGAAGAAUCUACACUCUACACUUUCUAGAAAAUAAACACUACCUUUAUUUAAAUCGAUUUGUUGGAUAUUUAGCUAAAAUGAGAGUAGCUCUCUAAUAAUUAUUGCAUUAUUACAAACAUAUCCAACGGUUAUAAUAGCGCGCUGAAUCAAUGCUUCAGAAGGAUGACAGUCUGAGUGAAAAGGAAAUAAACGCUUUCAAUUGAAUUACUACCACUACACUCCAAUACUCUAUUAUUGUUUGUGUGCUUGCUUGUGGACCUUUUUACUUCUUACUAUCAUUAUUGAAUUCCAUUUCCAAAUUUUCAGCAUACUUUUGCUUUCUUUCAGUAUCUUCAGUUUCUCUUUUGCUUGCUAUCAAUUCAGUUUUCUUCUUGUGAAGAUCGAACGGAACCAUGGUUGCUGUGGGAGAGAUCUUACUCAACGCCUUCUUUCAGGUGUUGUUUGACAGGUUGGCUUCCCGUGAUUUGCUCAGCUUUGUCCGUCAACUUGGAGGCGGGGACGAUUCCGAGCUCAAGAAGUGGGAAAGAAAGCUGAAGAUGAUUCAGGCGGUGCUCAACGAUGCAGAGGAGAAGCAACUGACCGACGAGGCCGUGAAGAUGUGGCUGGACGAUCUCCAAGACUUGGCUUAUGACGCUGAGGACAUUCUUGAGGAGUUUGCUACUCAAGCUUUGGAAAGCAAGUUGAUGGCGAAAAAUCAGGAUCGCAUUGGCCAGGUUCUUAGUUUCAUACCGGCUAGUUUGAAUCCGAAUGCUAUUAUGUCCAAUUAUAGCAUGGGAUCCAAGAUUAAAGAUAUUACUAGCCGGUUGGAGCAACUCUGCCAAGAUAGAAUUGAACUUGGGCUGCAACGGAUUGCUGGAGGGGCAUCAUCAACUACUUCUGCUGCACAUCAGAGGCGAGACAGUUCGAGUGUCCCAACAGAACGUGAAGUAUUUGGAAGAGAAGAAGAUAAGGCCAAAAUUCUUGAUAUGGUAUUGACCGAUACCCCAAGUGAUCGUGCCAACUUUGUUGUAAUACCCAUUGUUGGCAUGGGCGGGAUAGGAAAAACAACUCUUGCCCGGGAGGUCUACAAUGACAAGGCCGUUGAAGAUUCCAAGUUUGAUGUAAAAGCAUGGGUUUGUGUCUCUGAUGUCUUUGAUAUUUUGGGCAUCUCAAAGGCACUUCUCCAGUCAAUCACCUCCGCAGCUAGUGAUCUCAAGACUUUAAAUGAGGUGCAGGUUCAACUGAAAAAAGCAGUUGACGGAAAAAGAUUCUUGCUGGUCUUAGAUGAUGUUUGGAACGAGAACUACAACUUGUGGGAAGACUUAAAAGCUCCGUUCCUGGAUGCUGCACCAAACAGCAAGAUGAUCGUCACCACACGCAAUUCAAGUGUUGCAUCAACAAUGAGACCCAUUGAACAUUUCAAUCUCAAGAGUCUGUUGGAUGACGAUUGCUGGUCCAUUUUUAUAAAGCAUGCAGUUGAAGGUGGAGAUCUUAACGAGGAUCAAAUUUCAGAAUCAUUCCGCAAGAAAGUUGUUGGCAAGUGUGGAGGCUUGCCUCUGGCAGCAAAAACUCUCGGGGGCCUUCUGCGUACGACGAGGCAUGAUGGGUGGGAUGGUAUAUUGGAUAGCAAAAUAUGGGAAUUACAUCAACAUAGCAGCAUUCUCCCUGUGUUAAGAUUGAGUUACCAUCAUCUUCCGUCUCAUUUGAAAAGAUGUUUUGCUUUUUGUGCCAUCUUUCCAAAAGAUUAUGAAUUCACUGAGAAGGAGCUGACUUUCUUAUGGAUGGCUGGAGGUAUUAUUCGACAGUCAAGAAACAAUGAGCAGCUGGAAGAUUUGGGCAGCAAGUGCUUUGGUGAUCUAGUGUCAAGGUCAAUUUUUCAACAAACAGCAAUCUCUGAUAGUUCUAAAUUUGUAAUGCACGACCUUAUCCAUGAUCUUGCUGAAUUGGUCUCUGGAGGAACCAUAUUUAGGUCAGAGGAGGCCAAUACUCUAUCAAGAAGAUUUGAAAGGGUUCGCCAUUCUUCCUAUACCCGUGAUUGGUAUGAUGGUAAAAAUAAGUUCGAGGUUUUCAAUGAAAUUGAACAUCUACGAACAUUCUUGCCGUUAAGAGGUAACUAUUGUACUAGUUACAUAACUCGACCGAUUCUAUCUGAUAUGCUGCCAAAGUUCAAAAGGUUGAGAACGCUAUCUUUACAAGGAUACUGUAUUGGUGAGUUACCAAUUCCAUUUGAAGAUUUGAGACUUUUAAGGUUCCUCAACCUUGCUGACACUGACAUAAGAAGUUUACCUGACUCAACAUGCAAAUUGCUGAACUUGGAAAUUCUGAUAUUAAGAAAUUGUUCCCGUUUGAUAAAGCUUCCGCAGAAAAUGAGGAAUUUGAUCAAUUUAUGCCAUCUGGAUAUAAGAGGUGCGAAGUUGCUGAAGGAGAUGCCAGUCGGAAUGAAAGAGCUGAAGAAGCUUCAAACAUUGUCCAAUUUUAUUGUAGGCAAGGGUGAAUCCGCAUCUGGUUUGGAAGAUUUAAAAAGUUUAAACCUUCUUUGUGAUGAACUUUGCAUUGCUGGAUUAGAGAAUGUGAAUAAUCCACAGAAUGCAAGAGAAGCCGCAUUAUGUGAGAAGCACAAUCUUGAAGCAUUGACUCUAACAUGGUGGCCUCAAUUUGACAGUCCUCGAGGUGUAGUAGUGGAAGAGAAUGUACUUGACGUUUUGCAGCCUCAUAAAUGUAUAAAAAAGGUGGCAAUCAGGAACUAUGGUGGUGCAAGAUUUCCACCUUGGAUAGGAGAUACUUUAUUCUCCAAGAUAGAGCUCCUUGAAUUGAAGAACUGUGACAAUUGUGUGUCUUUGCCAUCGCUUGGCCUAUUGAGUUCACUUAAACACCUUGCUGUUAAAGGGCUGAAGAAACUAAAAAGCAUAGAGUCUGAGGUUUAUGGGGAGGGUUUGUCAAUGCCUUUUCCAUCGUUGGAGGUUCUAAGUUUUGAGAAUUUGCCUGAAUGGGAGUAUUGGGACACCAAUAUCAGAGGAAAUGUGCUCGUUGAAAUGUUUCCUCGUCUCCAUAAACUUUCCAUUGUGGAAUGUCCAAAACUCUCUGGGGAACUGCCUGAGCUCCUGCCCUCCUUGGAGACACUUGUUGUUAUUAAAUGUGAAAAUUUGGUAGUUCCAUUGUCUCGCUAUCCGAUGCUCUGCAGAUUAGAAGUUGAUGAGUGCAAGGAACUAGCGUGCGGGACUCCAAUUGAUUUCAAGUUGAUAAAGUCUGUGACUAUUUCAAAUAGUUCCUUAGACAUGGAUGGAUGCAAGGGGAUGCUAUACGAUGGUCCAGCUAGCUCUUCACUGCCAAAGCCCACGAUUACUACAAAUGUUUUGGAGUUUGGAAAAUUAUUGAAGCCUGGAUUUCAGAUAUUAGAAACGUUGGUAAUUGGCAAUUCUGAACAGCUCAAGUCAUGGAGGCAGCAUGGGGAUUUUCUAGAAGAAUAUAUGGUCGCUCGCCAAAGGUUUAAGAAACCAGUACAAGGGCUGAAUAUGCUCGCUUCCCCUGAAGAGGUAACAAUUGAAGAAAGUUGCGUACGUCUUGUUUUGUUUCCAGAGAUCAAUUUCUUUCCCAGAAAUCUGCGCUCUCUUCUAAUUAACAACAACACUGCUUUCAAAUCCUUACCCGAGGAAAUGAUGGAAAACAAUUCACAACUCGAAAGGUUGUAUAUCAGAGAUUGCGACUCUCUAACAUUCAUCGCAAGACGGAGGCUACCAGCAUCUCUUAAAAGGCUUGAGAUAGAAAAUUGUGAGAAAUUGCAACGUCUGUUCGAUGAUGAAGAGGAUGCUUCUUCUUCUUCUUCUCCUUCAUCCUCGUCUUCCCCAGUGAUGCUGCAACGCCUGAAUAUAAAGAACUGCCCAGAGCUCACCAGUUUAUCAUCGGGUGUCCAAUUCCUUGAGGCGCUUGAAGGCCUCGAGAUAUGGGAUUGUCCAAAGCUGGAGUCAAUACCGGAUGGCCUGCACAAUCUUAAAUGUUUACAGAGCAUUCAUAUAGAUGGAUGUCCAAGUCUUGUUUCCUUGCCCAAUGACAUGCACAAACUGAACUCUCUUCGAGAUUUAAACAUACGGGCGUGUCCAAUAUCGUUUCCAGAAGAAGGUUGUCCUACCAAUCUAACAUCACUUACACUUGGAUAUGUCGAAAUGUAUAAGACACUCGUCCAGUGGGGGUUGCACAGGCUUACCUCUCUUAGAAGCCUCGACAUUUUUGGAUGUGAUGAUGAAGCAGAGUGUUUUCCAGACGAGGAGAUAGGAAUGACGCUGCCCACCUCUCUCACUCAUCUGCACCUUUUUGAUUUCGAAAAAUUGAGAUCUCUGUCUUCGACGGGUUUUCAGAGCCUCACCUCUCUUCAAUCUUUGGAUAUCUGGUUUUGCCCAAAUCUCACAUCAUUCCCAAAGGUGGGCUUUCCAUCCUCACUUGUGGAAUUACGCAUUAGAGAUUGUCCAAAGCUUAAAAAAGCGUGCAAAAGAGAUCAAGGAAAAGAGUGGCCCAAAAUUGCUCACAUCCCUUGCGUUGAGAUAGACGAUAAAUUCAUAUACCAUCCAAAAUCAGAGGUGUAGAGUGUAUUAUUAAGGUCAGUUGAUUUAUGUUAUCCACCAUAACAAGCUCCUCCUUUUUUUUUAAAUAAUAAUUUUGCAGUCACUCGCGUGAUUCCGUUUUCACAAGUCAGAUUGUAUGUUGAGGCUAUUUGCCUUUUAAUCGCAGAUUAAAUUAUAACACUUAUCUUAAAAUUUAAUACCAUAGACAGAUAGACGAUUUUUUAAUCCAAAGUUUUUUUAUUCACUUCAGUUAGCAUUUUUUUUUUCCCCAAAUCAUGCAAGCCGAGAGUUUCAAUCAACAGAAUUUUAUUCACUCAUUGACUUUUCAACUGCUGUGGUUAUUUAUGGGUGAAAGAUAAAUUUCUUAGAUGGUAGAUAUAUCGACAUUUUAGAUUUCAGAUAUUUGUCACCAAUUUCAUUCCUUUUUUUAAAAUUUUUUUUAAGCAAGUUUGACUAAUUUUAACCAGAAUUGGAGUAUAAUAUUUUGGAGCAAGCAUACUUGAAAUUUCUGUCUUCAAUUUUUUUGAUGCUUUUUUAAUUUUGAUCUAGUAAAAAUACAUAGCCUUCACCGGCAGGAUUCUAGUCUUGGCUUUCACCUCUCUAACUCAUCUGUCCCUAUUGGGAUUCCAGAAAUUUAAAUUUCUGUCUUCAAUGGGUUUUCAAAGCCUCACCUCUCUUCGAUUUUUGUGGAUUGGGAAUUGCACAAAUCUCACAUCAUUUCCCGAGGUCGAGGAAAAGAGCGGCCCAAACUAUCAGCGGUGUUGAUUCUCUUAUUAAGGUCAGCUGAUUUCUAUUAUCCACUCUGACAAUCUCCUAUUAGUGUUUUUUUUUUAAAAAAUUUGCAGUUCUGUAUAAUUGAAAUGCCACUCACUUGUUUCCUUCUUCACAGGUCAGAUAGUAUGUUAAAGCUAUUAGUGCUGCCUCAUAGGUUGAUUACUCACAGAUGAAAUCAUAACUUUUAUCUUAAAAUUUAAUAGCAUACACAGAUAGACGAUUUUUAGUCCAAAGUUUUUUUUAUUCACUUCAAUCAAAAUUUUAGAUUGCAGAUUUUUGUCGAGUAUUUUCAUUCCAAUUUUUUCAUUUUUUAUUUUAAACCAGAAUUGGAGUAUAAAAUUUUGGAGCGCGCAUACUCUGAUGCAUGCAAUUAACUGUUUUUAAUCGUUGGAUUUUGAAAUUAAUGAUGGUAAGAUGUGUACUUAUUCUUUCUUCCAACAACCUUGCCUUCUUUCUUCGGUCGCAUAUCUAAUGAAUAUUUCUCUGUUUAGUUAAGGAUGAAUGCUUGGAGUGGGGUACUUGGUAACAUUUCUGCCUUAGAUGAAUCCUUGAAGAAAUGCCCGCAGUUCCUGAGACCAAAUACAGGUCUGAUUCAAAACAGCACCUUUCCCAGAAAAUAUGAUCCAAGGCAAAGUCAUGUUCUGAUAAUGUUUCCUUAAGUACUAAGUUGCAAGGAAACUUGAUUCAUUAACUACAGUUUUUUAUUUUUAGGACCUUGUAUCUGAAAGGUUCAGUGUUUUUUUUUUUCAAAUUUAUUGUUCAGAUCUCAGAGGAGUAUAUGGUUUAGAUUACAAAACACCCAUGAUUAAUUUCAUUUUUUUUUUAAUUUCAGGGAGAAGAAGUGGUCAGUUUCAAUCCGGAAUUGGAAUAUGGCAAUUUGGUUCAAGCAAACACACCUGGUCACUUGGUCAGUGGUCACUUGGUCAGCGAACCUGAACUUUACGCAGUUUUUUCAACUCAGUGAUUUUUGGAACGCAUAUUGGUGUAAGGAAAUCAAAAGAAAUUUAUGCAUUGUCAAAUUCUGAUAUUUGCUAUAUAUUAUACAUUCUAAAGUUUCUCCAGUUUGUUCUCAGAUUACCAUCAUUUUUUGCUUUCACCAACCAAACAAAAACAAAAUGAGUGGCUUUCCGGUGGAUAUUUAAUCGGAGGUAUGACUGGAUUUUUUUCACUUCUGUAAAUCUUGCAUUUUAAACUGGCAAAUUUAACUUUAAUUUUAAUAGGACUUUGUUGGUACCUUGUGUUCCAGAAACUAGAAAGAUGUGUAGUUUUCAGAUAAAGGGGCUUGUAAAUUCUCUAGUAAGAAUCCAAUAAUUUGCUUUUGCACGUUCAUUUUAUUUGUGGAUCCUUGCAUCUGAAUUUGAUCAAUCCAAAAGGAAUUGCUUUUAGACAGAAGAAGAAUAGCAGUACCUAGCCUAUGACAUAGUAUAUGGACCUGCAAACCUGAAACUAUUAGUUUGAGGUAAAAAAUUCAUGACCCUCACAUGUUAACUUCUUCUAGUUACUUUCAUGAAAAACACAUUUAAGAAAUUUGCAAUUUUUUGUUAGUUUCGUAUCCGAUGUUGUUUUCUGUUUUAGCAUUUGUAGAAUCUACUGUAUUAUAUUUUGGCAGUUGCAGUAUCUGAGGUAUGUUUUGCAUUUAACUUGCUUUGUUUGUUUUGCUUGUGACUUAAGAACACCAAUAUUUGCCAGAGAUUUAGAGAAGCAUAUCAAGAUGCUUGGCAAACUUGACAAACUUCAAGAUCCUCCAUUCUUCACAACGCAAAACUUGUGAGUACACCUAUGCCCGCAAUUAUUGUGAAAUGCUUGCAAUUUUGAUGCACUGAAAUGGUUUGUUGAUGCAAAGGUUUAAACUUUUAAGAUUCACCCUGCAGGGUAGUUGGAUGCUGUAUAAUCGAAAAGCGACCAACAUCAAGAAUUAUGACUCCAAGACCGGGUUUGCAUUAAUUCAAUCAGCUGAAAUCAUGAUGCAAAUGACACUAUCAGCUGGACUUAGAGACCAGUCAGAUCAAUCAUCCUUUUAUCAACAGUUAAUGUCAUGAUGGUGGCUAUCGGAGGAAACAAAGGAUGUGUCGGAAUCAAUAUGAACAGUGAGAAGAAUGAGAGGAGCUUUGAUUACAAGUAGGCUCAAUGAACUCAUGCUGGUAAGUGGUAAUUAAAGAAAUUUGUACGCUUAGUAGAGUUUCAAUAUUUUCUGUUUGGGAUAUAGUUGAUAAUUUGAUACUCUGAUUAAGAAGCCUGAUUAUAGUAGCUGACUUUUUUUUUGUGGUUUGCUGUUGUUUAUUCUUUCGAUUAAUUUCAACAUUAGGUUGAUCUGUUGAAGAACAAACUUGGGUUUGAUUAUGCUUUAACUACAAGGAAGAGCCAGGCUUGGAUGCAGGCGUUCAGCUUUUAAUGGGUAAGAACAUAUGUAUGCUUUAACCAUGUUUCUCACUUAUUACAAUGCAUGCAUUGAAGGCAUCUGAGCUGAUCCUGAAAAUGUGAUGGAAAUACUUCUCUGUUUACAUAAAACAGGACAAGAGAUCUCUGAUCAUGCCUGAGAAUUCGUUGCAUUUAAAAUUUCUACCAUUGCCAAAAAUAGAAUAAACUAGGGAUAGAUUAGCUUAAGACUCAAUUUUGAGAAGGAAGUUUGCACAUGCAGCCUAAAAAAUCAUGUCCGUGUUGUAUACUUGUAUGUUUCUUUGGGAAAUGAAAGAUUCUGUGUGUUCUUUUGUUUCAAGUUUGCUGAAAUCACAUUUGUUUUCUUAGAUGCUUUUGGGAAGGUAACAACAUCAAUUUCAUAAAUGCUGGGGUAAGAUGCAUCACGCAGUGCUACUCAACAUGAGAAUUCCCGGCCGCAUUACCUGUAUGUUGAGUGAUCGCACAGUACAACCUUUAGAAGCUUGUAAGGAGUAGACAACUAGAUGCGAAUAGUUUCAAUAUGGAUUCGCAUCAAAUGAUCUCUUGCCAGUGAUUACUAUAACCCCUAUCCCAAAAUUCUUGGCAUUGGUCAUACCAAUAAUGAAGUAUUGUGUACGUUGAAGACAUAGCUCAAGGCCUUGCGAAAGCUCCGUCAGCCUUUGUAUUGGAAAACAGUUGGUUGUAGUUGCUUCUGAGUGAUAUUAUUAAUAGAUACUGUAAAAAUGAACUGUGCCACUCAUUUUCAGAGCCCUGUUAAGAUGUGUUGGUAAUGUGUUUGAAGGUUGUUUGAUUUAUGUUGUAUUCAGCUACAAAUCAAAGAUUCAGAACAUGGUUAUGUUACUGGUUUCCAAAUCAAAAAAAUGCCUUGUGAUGUUAGUGUUCAUUUUUUUCACAGGAGAUCAGGUUCCCUGUUGAUGAAUCAAGAAGGCAAACGCAUCCAUGUCUUAAGUUCAAAUGUGUCUCUUCUAUUUUCUAUUACUGACUCCUUUAUUUUGAUUUCUUCAUUGUAAUGGAAUUGGUUUUUUAUUCCAAAUUAGUCAAAACCUCCUAGAGUCAUUAAGUUCUGUUAGCAUUUGAAGAUAGAACUAGAACUAAAUGAUUGACUGGAUUAAAUUCCGAUAAAGAAUUAAGUUAUAUAUUUAGAGAUAUUAUGUUUUUUUUUUUUUCAUUUGUUCAAUUUGGUUAGUGGUGAUUUCUUAAAGACUCAAUCCAUGUGCGUUUAUGCAUUUUUCUUUUGCCUUAAUUUCUGUUUCUUGGGGAGUUUAUACAGAUUCUUAUUUUAUGCUUCACAUGCCACAUGAAAGAUCGAAGCCUUUUGUGUGAUUAGAACUGACUUGCAUCACAGUAACUUUAAAUCACUGCGACAUUUUUAUAAUAACAGUCUGAGAUCUCCCUGCAGGAUUCAAAGCAUUUUAUUUUAUAUUAAACUCCUUUACGUGGGUUUGGACACUACCACAAGUUCUUUAAAUACUAAAACGAUUUUAAGUCUUUUGUAUCAUCUGAUUUAAAUACAUGAAAGCACUCGUGGCUGCAAAAAUACAGUUGGGGCUAUUUCUAAAGUCUUCAACAGCAUUUUCUUUUUAACCUUUAUCCUCAUGGUUGUUUUUGCAGUUGUUCUUUAAGAAAACAUUUAAAAGGUUCUCUUUAUGGAUUUUUGAAAAUAAUUUUAACAUGAGCAAUUUUCAGAAGCACUUUAGAUGUCUGGCAUUUAGGAAAUUUUAUUUCGGUGUCACAUAAAAUACUUAGGAAGUUAAAUUUAUUUAUUUAUGAGCAUGUGCCAGUGCCCAGUGGCAUCCUCUUCACUUGUGAUAGUCAAAUGUAUUAUACGAUACAAUAUUAGCUUGACUGUAGCACAGAGGAGAAUAGGGUUGGUGUUGGUCUGAACCAGCUUAUGUAACAGCUGCCAAAGGAUAAUUUAAUUGUACUUUGAGUAAAGCUUUUGCGAAUUAAACAAGUGAUAAUUUGUUUUUAUUAAGAAAAACUUAAGGAAUUAGGCUAUUUUAACUGACCAAAUUACACAUUAAAAAUUCAUUUACAAAAAUAGUUUUUAGUUAUUAAAAUAUUCCUAAAUUAAAUUAUAAUUAUGGACACUAAAAUAUUUUUUUUAUAUUUUACUCUUUGAAACUGUCUUUAUAUUCGAUAUUAUAUUUUUUUCUUAAACUCUAAAUUGAUUUUUUUUUUUGAUUAAUUUUAAAACACCUAUAAAGUGAUUCAUAUUGAUUUUAUACUAACAAACUAUUAUAGCACAUUCGAAAAAUAAUUAAAUCGUUCUUAUUUACAUAGUGAAAAUGCAAAUAGCUCGUUCAAAUGUUAAGGAAUUGGAGAGCUGCUGCUGGAGAUGAAAGAUGUGAAUUAAACAUCAGAAAAAAAAUUAUGUUUACUAUCUUGCCAGACCAAGCACCGAAAAGCAUCGUAAAGAAAAAUUAGAUAAUUUAGAAGAUAAAGCACGUGGAAUGGAGGCAGAAAGCAAGUAAUGAUAACUCUUUCGACAAACUAAUAUAUACCAAAAUGCAAUAUCAAAAAUGAAAAUAAAAAUUCAUUACGAAUACGUGUUAAAGAUAUCCCAAGUAUAGAUGUGACUGAAAUAUUUGAGAUUGAAGAAGAAUUAAGACUCAAAAUCAAUUGGGAGGAAUAAAUGAGAAACCUCAAUACCAAAAAAUACACGCGCAAAUCCUAAUACUAAUUGUAAUUGCAGAUAAAUAGCAUAAUACGAAUAAAUUCCAUGGGCAACUAUUUCAUUGAGAAAUUAAUUAAAUCGUGUAUUAAUAUUUUGUAUACAUAUAUUUUUCUAUAUAUGACUUUCGGUAAUUUAAUUUUCCACUUAUCAUUUUUACUCCAAAAAAAUAAUUGAGAAUAUUAUUUAUGUUUUGGUGCAAAAUAUUUGAACAAUAUACAAAUUUUCAGUUUAAUAAAUCUAAACAUCUAUUAAGUUAUAAAUGAAUUUAAUGGGUUUAAUUAAUAAAAUUACUAUUAUUAUAUAAAUUGGAUUUAGUAAUGGUACAUUGGGUGGGUUUGUUGAGUAAAUUUUAAAAUUUUGAAAUUUAAGGAUGGGUUUAUUUAGUAAAUGAGUUAAGGGAGUAGUUUGUUGGGAUUCACAUAACGCCACCAAAUUCAAAUGUAAAAUUUAUGGAAAAAGAAGCUAUUGAGUUAUUCUUUUUAAAAAAAGAAUUAAAAUGUCAAGAAUACCUUUAUUUAAUUUUAUAAUCUUAUUUUAUAGUCAUAUUUUAUUUCCACCUUAACAUAAUUUUAAAAAACCUUAACUAAUAAAUUCUAUAUUUUUUUUAUAAAAGUUAUCAUUAAUAUCCAAACGGCUAAAGAUUUUUUUUUUUAAAAAAAAAGAAACUAUGCUUACAAAAGUUGUAUACAUUAACAAUAAAUUUAGUCCAAAGAAUAAAGUUAUUCCAAACAAGCACUCCUAUUCAUCUUGCUAAUGAAUCAAGAUGACUGAAUCCAUUCUCUAAGCCAAAUCUAUUUUCACUUCUAGGUCAGAAAUUGUCAUUAAAAAAGUGUUUGAUAAAAUAUGCUCUGGGAACACUAAUUCGUCAGAUGGUUACUCCAAGUUUAUGAAAUCAAUGGGGUUUCAUCAUAUUCAUAACAUUCUUCUUUAAUGUCUAUUCUAACAAAGAAAUUACUAGAAAACUUUUACUAGAAAAACUAACCACAAUUCAUCAUUCAUUUAUAUCUUAAGUAAGCGUAAGAUUUUAUCAUUAAAAUCUCAUCAUGAAAAAACUCAUGGGAGAAAAACUAUAAAAAUUGAAGAAAAAAGAGUAUGGCGUGCAUGUAAAUUAUAUCGAUUUUAUCUAUAUGACAAAUAAGACUCUCUUUUACAAUGGCACGGAUGCUUCAUUGAGUAAUCAUGAUUCUUGCUGGUAGUGCUUUGUUGUAUCAAUCUGCUAGCUAUUCAGCUUUCUUUCUUUCUUUCUUCUUUUUAUUUUUUUUGUUUUCAAAUAGCUUGUGGUUGUAGAAAUAUUUCAAUUAAACUAUACUUAAGUACUUAUUUGGUAUAACUUCUUUACUAGCCAAAAGAUUUUUUUUUUGGUUUUUUAUAAUUUAAUUAUACUUUAACUAGAGUUUUUGGGAUUAAACAAGUGAUAAUUUCUCUCUGUUAAGAAAAACUCAAACGGUAGGGUUAUCUCAAUCCACCAAACUAUUUAUUAAAAAUCCACUUAUGAAAAUAAUUUUUAAUUAUUAGAAUGCCUCUAAAUUAAAUUACAAUUAUAGACACUAAAAUAUAGUAAAAAAAAUUUUUUUUUACUCUUUAAAACUGUCUUUACAUUCGAUAUCAUAUCUUUUUCUUAAAAUCUAAAUUGAUUUUUUUUUUAUUAAUCUCAGAACACAUAUGAAGUGAUUCAUAUUGGUUUUAUACUAACAAACUAUCAUAGCACAUUCGAAAAUAAUUAACUCGUUCUUAUUUGCAUAGUGAAAAGGCAAAUAGUUCAUCCAAAUGUUAAAGAAUUGGAGAGCUGCUGCUGGAGAUGAAAGAUGUGAAAAGCAUGGUAAAGAAAAAUUACAUAAUUCUCACUUAGAUGAGGAAGAAAAAAAAAAGAAUACAAUUAGAAUGAGAGGUAGCCAAUAGCCACUAGCCGCCGCCACCGCCACCAGUGAAACUAUUUCACAUAAUAGAAGAUAAAGCACGCGUAAUGGAGGCAAAAAGCAAUUAAUGAUAACUCUUUUCGACACACUAAUACAUAUCAAAAUGCAAUAUCGGUCCUAACAAAAUGAAAAUAAAAAUUCAUUACGAAUAUGCGUUAAACAUAUCCCAAGUAUUGAUGAUGUGAUUGAAAUAUUUGAGAUUGAAGUAUAAAUAAGACUCAAAAUUAAUUGAGAGGAAUAAAUGAGAAACUCUAAUACUAAUAAAAUACAUUCACAAAUCCUAAUGCUAAUUAAAAUCACGGAUUAAAAAAAAUAAUAUGAAUGAAUUACAGGCGCAACUGUUUCAUUAAGAAAUUAAUUAAAUCGUGUAUUAAUAUUUUGUACACAUACAUUUUUCCAUAUAUAACUUUUGGUAAUUUAGUUUUCCACUUAUCAUUUUACUCCAAAAAAAUAAUUGAGAAUAUUAUUUAUGUUUUGGUGCAAAAUAUUUAAACAACGUAUAAAUUUUCAGUUUAAUAAAUCUAAACAUUUCUCAAGUUGUAAAUGAAUUUAAUGGGUUUAGUUAGUAAAAAUGCUAUUAUUAUAUAAAUUGGGUUUAGUAAUGGUAUAUUGGGCAUUUAAAUGGGUUUGUUGAGUAAAUUUUAAAAUUUUAAAAUUUAAGGGUGGGUUUAUUUUAGUAAAUGGGUUAAGGCAGCAAUUUCCCAAACUAAAAUUUUUAGAAAAAGAGGCUAUUUAGUUUUUUUUUUUAAAAAGAAUUAAGAUGUUGAGAAUACCUUUAUUUACUUUUAUAAUCUUAUUUUAAAAAAUUUACCCAAUAAAUUUUAUAAUUUUUUACAAAAAUUAUCAUUAACAUCCAAACAGCUAAAGAUUAAAAAAAAAAAAAAAGAAGGGAACUGUACUAGCAAAAGUUAGAUUAACAAUAAAUUUAGUCCAAAGAAUAAAGUUAUAGCUAAAAAGUGCUCCUAUCCUAUUUUUCUCUAUUUUAACAAUAAUCUUCCAAUCCAUUUUACAAUGGACUUAACAAAUGGGCUCAAUCUCUAAACUUCAUUUUCUUUUGCUAACCCAUGGCCAUUAGCCAGAAAGCCUAAAACAAUUUUAGGAUCACAUGUGUAAAUGGAACUCCAAGAUUGAUCAAGAAUUAACAAGACAAGAUGAAGAGAUGAUCUUGUAACUAAGAAUGAAGAAAUUGAAUCAAGACAGUACUCUAGUAAAACCCAGAAAACAGAGCUUGAAGAAUCACGCACAAAGCAGUAAAUUUGUAAAACCAGAAUUGGAGCUUCACUUCUCAAGAUAGACGAAACAGGAUACAAUCUAGCUUUGGUCAACUUCGUUUGGCCACGUCAUAAAGUCUUCCCCCACAGUCUUUCCCGCCAAAACAGAAAAGCUUUAAAAGCCAUUUACCCUCCUGAGUUACUUGCUCCUAUUACAUCAAGGCCCUGUAAGUCUAUAUUUAUUAUUACAAAAGCACCCUUAAACCGAGAUUUGAGAUAUUUUUUCAAAGAUCGAAGCGCAUGAUUUCACGGCUAUGUUGCAUAGUGAAUUUUAGUGCUUUACAGUUAAGGGAUAGUUUAAAUUCAUUACAAAGCAUUCGCAAAGAAAUUGUUUUUAAAUGAAACUCCUCGUCUUGACCAGAUUAUUUAUUAUUAUUAAAAAAAAAUGUUCAAAACUUAGCCAAAGUGAUAAACUCGUAAUUAUUCUACAAAGGGAACAAUUUUGAACGGUGGGAAAUUCCAUAAUUAUGCUUUUCUGUGAAUUAUUUUAAAUAAAAUUAUAAAAAUUAAUAUAAAAUUAUAAUAAUGAUAGAGCCACAAAUUCUUGUACAAAUUUAUUUUAUACAAACUCAUGUGGCAUGAUAAGAUUGGUUGAAUUAAAUAUUACUUGGCCCACAUGAUUUGUUUUUAUUAUUUUAUAUUUUUAUUCAACCAAUAAAUUAAUACCACGUCAGUUUGUACAAAAUAAAUUUAUACAAAAAUUUGUGACUCGAUCAUCACUCAUAAAAUUAAUACCCGGUAAAGACUGUAGAGAGACAAGUGCCCCCAACAGAAUCAAGUGAAUAUGCCCCACAAAGAUCACAUGAUCAUUUCUGUUCUUUUUCUUUUUGAUAAUUUUAUCUGUGGUUUCAACUUUUAUGCUUUAUUGUCGUAUCCCGUUGAGGGCUCCGCUGCACCCAUUACAACUUACCCCUAAAUUGCCUCUUACUAACUAAACCGUUAGAUUUUAUGGAAGCACGUUCAAUGUUGAAUUUUAAUUAUGUCAUCGAAUUUCGUUUAGCUCCUUAAACUCCAUUUUAUUUGUAAUUUCUUCAUAAAAUAUUCAAAGCUUCAUCAAGCUCCUGAUGGACCAUCAUGGCUAGGGGUGCAUUAGAGCCGAACUGAAAUAUGUUAGUUCAGUUCAGUUUGGUCAGUUUAAAUCGAAUGGUUUAGAAUAUAUAAACUGAUCAAUUUUAAUUUUGAAUUGAACCGAACCGAAAAUCAAUUGGUUCACUAUUAGUAUUUUUGUAUAAACAAGAAUGAUUAGUGAUUAUAAUUAAAUUGGACUAAAAAAAAUUCAAACUAAGGUGAAAAAUAUCAAAUCUUAGACAAUAUAAAAAAAAAUAUUAAAUUUUUUUAACCGAAACGAACCGAAUUAUUUUGACUCAGUUUGGUUCAUAAUUUUUUAAACCAAACUGAUUUAUUCCCACCCCCUAAUCGUGGCUCUCUAUCUUUAGUCAUUCACCCUUGAGUUUGAUGCCAAUUGUUGGGUUUCAAAUGAUUAUACACUCAAAUGGAACCCUCAUAACAAAAAACUAACAGAAACAAUAAGAACACGAUGUUAAAAUCUUAAAUCAAUCGCAACGGUCCUUUUUUUUCCCCAUUCUUGAACCUAAAGUAUUUGAGUAUGCAAAUUAAUAAAUAAAUUCAUUUAUUUUUAUUAAAAUUUUGUAAAAUUAUAAUUUUUAAUAAAAAUAAUUAUUAAAAUUUUGUAAAAUCUAAAUUUAGAAAAAUUCAGUUGGGCACCUCUAUUUGAGAUUUAUUUUUUAUUAAAUUUAGGGAUAUUUUUAUAAUUAUAAUUUUUAAUUUUAAAAGUUUUUAUAAGAUAAAAUAGUCUUUUAAUUUAUUUAGGGGUAAAAUUGAUGUUUUAUUAAAAUUAUUUAAUUGUGUUAAUGCAAAAGUGACUAUUUGAUACAAAUGUGAAAAGAAAGGUGGUGCAAAAUAUAUGUUAAAAUUUUAUAUUGGUUGGAUGAACAUAAGCUAAAAUAAAGGUGGUGCAAUGAUAAUUUCCCUAUCCUAAAACUUAAUUGACUUAAUUCUUAUGGUGCAAGGAAGAGGUUUCCAAGUUUAAAUCUAAAGGCUUGUAUUUAAUUUGGGGUUGGGAAAGCACUGAGAAAUAAAUGUAACUAAGGAAAAAAAAAAAGUCAUGCAGUCCAAAUAAGUAGACAUAUUUAAUAUGAGGUGGGGAUGGGUGAACUGUAAUUCAGAAAAAAUAAAAUAAAAUUUCAUAUAAAGUUGAGGGUGUGUUUUAAUGGUUUCUUAUGCUGCGUUUACUUUUUGGACUAGAGUGAGAAUUCUGAGAAGUGGGAAUCCUGUGAUUAGGUGUGUGGAGUGGGAAUGAGAGUAGGGUAUUUACUUAGACUAAAUAAAAAUAUGGAUUGUCAAUCAGAAUCUCAAUUAUUUGUUACUUUGUCUUGGAUUGAGAGUAAAUUAUUUUAAAUUACAAUUUUAUCCUUAUGUAAAGAAUUAUAAUUUGUAAUUAAAAAAUUAAUAAAAAUAUAUUGGAAAAUAAAAUAAAUAUUUUAUUAUAUUUAUAAAAUAAUAAUAAUUAAUAAAAUUCUUAAUUAUGUAAAUCAUAAUUUUUUAUUAAUUUAAAUUUAAAUUAUGUGAAUAAAAAUUAUUAAUAAUAGCAACACAAAUGAAACAUUAUUAUUGAUAAUAUAGUAUAAAAUUAAUAUUUUUUUAGAAUAAAAUAUUUAUUAUUAUUAAAUAAAUAAAUAAUAUUUAUUAAAAUUAAUGUUUAAUAUUAUUAAUUUAAAUAUAAUAUUUAUUUAUUUUUAUUUUAUUUUAUUAAAUUUAAUAAAAUAAAUAUGUUAUAAUUAUUAUUUUUAAUAAAUAUGACAUUAUUUAUUUUAUUAAAUAUUAUUUAUUUAUUUUAAUUAUGAGGGUAAAAAUAAAAGAGGGGGAGUGGAUUCCCACUCCCACCUCCCCCCAUGGGAGUGGGAAUCCCACUCUCCCCUUAAAAAUGAUAAGUAAACACUAGAAUGGGAAGAAUCCACACUCUACACUUUCUAAAAAAUAAACACUACCUUAAUUUAAAUUGAUUUGUUGGAUAUUUAGCUAAAAUGAGAGUAGCUCUCUAAUAAUUAUUGCAUUAUUACAAACAUAUCCAACGGUUAUAUAUGCUUGCCUGUGGAAAUAAAAGUCCCAAGUUUCUUUGAAAGGUAAGCUAGUGUGAAUGUUUUCAUCCGUGCAACUUACUUGAUGAAUGAAGUUUUCAUCCCUGACCUUGAUGUUUCUGGUGGCUACAAUCAUUUCAGCUGAUCUAUUCCAUUUUGUUAAGGUGAGAAUUUAGAGUGGCUUUAACUGUUAGCAAAUAGCCUAAUGUAAGACUUGAUCAACUUCCUGCCCUGUUGUAUGCUUAUGAAUUUUGAUAGAGUUAUGAGUUUGCAGAAGCUACUGUAUUAUAUGUUGUUAGAGGCUGUAAAAAUGAGGCAGAUCAAACACACAUUUAAAUUUCAAUGACAAUUUACUAGAAGUAAAUUUCCUAUGACCCUCCAGGUGACUAAUCAAUGAGAACUUGACAAUAACAAAAGAAAGUGUAUGAGCUUUGCAGGCGGGCACGCCAAUCUUGACUGCAUGGCACCAUCCGCCAUUUGCAAGUGAAUAUCAUUAUUGUUUAAUCAACAUGGUGGAGUCCACUGGGACCACACCACAUGGUCAGUCUUAUCUCUAUUCCUCAAUUUUCAGUAUUCCAUACAUCAAAACAAUUUCAGUUUUGUUAUCAAUUAUAAUUUCAUUGUUGGAGACGAUUCUGAUUCCUUUCUUUCUGACAAAACGGAACCAUGGUUGCUGUGGGAGAGAUCUUACUCAACGCCUUCUUUCAGGUGUUGUUUGACAGGUUGGCUUCCCGUGAUUUGCUCAGCUUUGUCCGUCAACUUGGAGGCGGGGUCGAUUCCGAGCUCAAGAAGUGGGAAAGAAAGCUGAAGAUGAUUCAGGCGGUGCUCAACGAUGCAGAGGAGAAGCAACAGACUGACGAGGCUGUGAAGAUGUGGCUGGACGAUCUCCAAGACUUGGCUUAUGACACUGAGGACAUUCUUGAUGAGUUUGCUACUCAAGCCUUGGAAAGCAAGUUGAUGGCGCAAAAUCACGAUAGUUCUGGCCAGGUUCUCAGUUUCAUCCCGGCUGGUUUGAAUCCGAAUGCUAUUAUGUUCAAUUAUAGCAUGGGGUCCAAGAUUAAAGAUAUCACUAGCCGGCUGGAGCAACUCUGCCAAGAAAGAAUUGAACUUGGACUGCAACGGAUUACCGGAGAGGCAUCAUCAACUGCUGCUGCUGCUGCACACCAGAGGCCACCCAGUUCGAGUGUCCCAACAGAACGUGAAGUAUUUGGAAGAGAAGAAGAUAAGGCCAAAAUUCUUGAUAUGGUAUUGGCCGAUACCCCAAGUGAUCAUGCAAACUUUGUUGUAAUACCCAUUGUUGGCAUGGGCGGGAUAGGAAAAACAACUCUUGCCCGGGAAGUCUACAAUGACAAGGCCGUUGAAGAUUCCAAGUUUGAUGUAAAAGCAUGGGUUUGCGUAUCUGACGUCUUUGAUGUUUUGGGCAUCUCAAAGGCACUUCUCGAGUCAAUCACCCGCAGGCCUUGUCUUCUAAACAGUUUAAAUGACGUGCAGGUUGAGCUGAAAGCAGCUGUGGAUAAAAAAAGGUUCCUGCUGGUCUUAGAUGAUGUUUGGAACGAGGACUACAGCUUAUGGGUAGACUUAAAAGCUCCGUUACUGGUUGCUGCACCAAACAGCAAGAUGAUCGUCACCACACGCAAUUCAAGUGUUGCAUCAACAAUGAGACCCAUCGAUCGUCACCACACGCAAUUCAAGUAUUACGAUCUCAAGAGUCUGUUAGAUGAUGAUUGCUGGUCCAUUUUCAUAAACCAUGCAUUUGAAUCUACAGACCUUAGCGCACAUCGAAUUUCAGAAUCAUUCCGCGAGAAAGUUGUUGGCAAGUGUGGGGGCUUGCCUCUAGCAGCAAAAACACUCGGGGGCCUUCUUCGUACUAAAACGCAUGCUGAGUGGGACGGUAUAUUGGAUAGCAAAAUAUGGGAUUUACCUCGGCAAAGCAGCAUUCUCCCCGUGUUAAGAUUGAGUUACCAUCAUCUUCCUUCUCAUUUGAAAAGAUGUUUUGCUUUUUGUGCCAUCUUUCCAAAAGAUUAUGCAUUCACUGAGAGGGAGCUGACUUUCUUAUGGAUGGCUGGAGGUAUUAUUCGACAGUCAAGAAACAAUGAGCAGCUGGAAGAUUUGGGCAGCAAGUGCUUUGGUGAUCUAGUGUCGAGGUCAAUUUUUCAACAAACAGCAAUCUCUGAUAGUUCUAAAUUUGUAAUGCACGACCUUAUCCAUGAUCUUGCUCAAUUGGUCUCUGGAGAAACCAUAUUUAGGUUAGAGGAGGCCAAUACUCUGUCAAGAAGAUUUGAAAGGGUUCGCCAUUCCUCCUAUGCCCGUGAUUGGUGUGAUGGUAGAAAUAAGUUGGAGGUUUUCAAUGAAAUUGAACAUCUACGAACAUUCUUGCCAUUUUGCAUAAGAGGUGGCGUUACUUCUGGUUGGAUAACUAGCACGGUUCACUACGAUUUGUUGCCGAAGUUCAAAAGGUUGAGGAUGCUGUCUUUAGAAGGAUACCAUAUUGGUGAGUUACCAAUUCCAUUUGAAGAUUUGAGACUUUUAAGGUUCCUCAACCUUGCUGACACUGACAUAAGAAGUUUACCUGAGUCAACAUGCAAAUUGUUGAACUUGGAAAUUCUGAUAUUAAGAAAUUGUUCCCGUUUGACAAAGCUUCCCCAGAAAAUGAGGAAUUUGAUCAAUUUACGUCAUCUGGAUAUAAGAGGUGCAAAGCAGCUGAAGGAGAUGCCAUUUGGAAUGAAAGAGUUGAAGAAGCUUCAAACGUUGUCCAAUUUUAUUGUAGGCAAGGGUGAAUCUGCAUCUGGUUUGGAAGAUUUAAAAAGUUUAGACCUUCUAUGUGAUGAACUCUGCAUUGCUGGAUUAGAGAAUGUGAAUAGUCCACAGAAUGCAAGAGAAGCCACAUUAUGUGAGAAGCACAAUCUUGAAGCAUUGACCCUAGAAUGGGGGUCUCAAUCUGACAGUCCUCGGGAUGCAGUACUAGAAGAGAAGGUACUUGACACUCUACAGCCUCAUGAACGUAUAAAAGAGCUGGCAAUCAGGAACUAUGGUGGUGCAAGAUUUCCACCUUGGAUCAGAGAUCCUUCGUUUCCCGAGAUGAAGGUCCUUAAAUUGGAGAACUGUGACGAUUGUGAAUAUCUGCCAUCACUUGGCCUGUUGAGUUCACUUAAGCACCUUGCUGUUAAAGGGCUGAAGAAACUAAAAAGCAUAGGGUCUGAGGUUUAUGGGGAGGGUUUGUCAAUGCCUUUUCCAUCAUUGGAGGUUCUAAGUUUUGAGAAUUUGCCUGAAUGGGAGUAUUGGGACACCAAUAUCAGAGGAAAUGUGCUCGUUGAAAUGUUUCCUCGUCUCCAUAAACUUUCCAUUGUGGAAUGUCCCAAACUCUCUGGGGAACUGCCUGAGCUCCUGCCCUCCUUGGAGACACUUGUUGUUAGUAAAUGUGAAAAGUUGGUAGUUCCAUUGUCUCGCUAUCCGAUGCUCUGCAGAUUAGAAGUUGAUGAGUGCAAGGAACUAGCAUGCGGGACUCCAAUUGAUUUUAAGUUGAUAGAGUCUGUGACUAUUUCAAAUAGUUCCUUAGACAUGAAUGGAUGCAAGGGGAUGCUAUACGAUGGUCCAGCUGGCUCUUCACUGCCAAAGCCUAUGAUUACUACAAAUGUUUCGGAGUUUGGAAAAUUAUUGAAGCCUGGAUGUCAAAUAUUAGAAACUUUAGUAAUUGGCAAUUCUGGACGGCUCAAGUCAUGGAGGCAGCAUGGGGAUUUUCUAGAAGAAUAUAUGGUCGCUCACCAAAGGUUUAAGAAACCAGUACAAGGGCUAAAUAUGCUCGCUUCCCCUGAAGAGGUAACAAUUGAAGAAAGUUGUGUGAGUUUUGUUUUGUUUCCAGAGAUCAAUUUCUUUCCCAGAAAUCUGCGCUCUCUUCUAAUUUGCAACAGCACUGCUUUGAAAUCCUUACCCGAGGAAAUGAUGGAAAACAAUUCACAACUGGAAAGGUUGUAUAUCAGAGAUUGCGACUCUCUAACAUUCAUCGCAAGACAGAGGCUACCAGCAUCUGUUAAAAGGCUUGAGAUAGAAAAUUGUGAGAAAUUGCAACGUCUGUUCGAUGAUGAAGAGGAUGCUUCUUCUUCUUCUUCUUCUCCUUCAUCCUCGUCUUCCCCAGUGAUGCUGCAACACCUGAUAAUAGGGAAAUGCCCAAAGCUCACCAGUUUAUUAUCGGGUGUCCAAUUCCUUGAGGCGCUUGAAUUCCUCAAGAUAGAGCAUUGUCCAAAGCUGGAGUCAAUACCGGAUGGCCUGCCCAAUCUUAAAUGUUUACAGAGCAUUUAUUUACUCAAUUGUCCAAGUCUUGUUUCCUUCCCAGAAAGAGGGCUUCCCCACACCAUUUCAUUUGUUUGCAUUUGCGGAUGUGACAAGCUUGAAGCCCUGCCCAAUGACAUGCACAAACUCAACUCUCUUCGACAUUUAAGCAUACAGCUCUGUCCAAAUCUUGUAUCGUUUCCAGAAGAAGGUUUUCCUACCAAUCUAACAUCACUUACAAUUGGAGAUUUCAAAAUGUAUAAGAUACUCGUCCAGUGGGGGUUGCACAGGUUUACCUCUCUUAGACGCCUCUAUAUCGUUGAUUGUGAUGACGAAGCAGAGUAUUUUCCAGACGAGGAUAUAGGAAUGACGCUGCCCACCUCUCUCACUCAACUGGAACUUUCGGGAUUCAAAAAAUUGAUAUCUCUGUCUUCGACGGGUUUUCAGAGCCUCACCUCUCUUCAAAGAUUGCGGAUCUGGGAUUGCCCAAAUCUCACAUCAUUUCCAGAGGUGGGCCUUCCAUCCUCACUUUUGGAAUUACACAUUUACAAAUGUCCAAAGCUUAAAAAAGCGUGCAAAAGAGAUCAAGGAAAAGAGUGGCCCAAAAUUGCUGACAUCCCUUGCGUUGAGAUAGACAAUAAAUUCAUAUACGAUCCAGAAUAAGAGGAGUAGAUUCUACUAUUAAGGUCAGUUGAUUUGUAUUAUCCGCUAUAACAAGCUCCUCCUUUUUUUUUUUUAAAUAAUAAUUUUGCAGUCACUCACGUGAUUCCGUUUUCACAAGUCAGAUUGUAUGUUGAGGCUAUUUGCCUUUUAGUCGCAGAUUAAAUUAUAACACUUAUCUUAAAAUUUAAUACCAUAGACAGAUAGACGAUUUUUUAAUCCAAAGUUUUUUUUAUUCACUUCAGUUAGCAUUUUUUUUUUUCCCCAAAUCAUGCAAGCCGAGAGUUUCAAUCAAGAAUUGGAGCAUGGGAAUGGAAUUUUUGUGAAAACAUAAUGGAUGAACGAACAUUUCAUCUGUGAUCUCAAAGUCAACAGAAUUUUAUUCACUCAAUGACUUUUCAACUGCUGUGGUUAUUUAUGGGUGAAAGAAAGAUAAGGGCAAUUACAAAAAAUUUGCAAAAUUUGUCAAUUUCUUAGAUGGUAGAUAUAUCGACAUUUUAGAUUUCAGAUAUUUGUCACCAAUUUCAUUCCUUUUUUUUUAUUUUUUCAAGCAAGUUUGACUAAUUUUAACCAGAAUUGGAGUAUAAUAUUUUGGAGCAAGCAUACUUGAAAUUUCUGUCUUCAAUAUUUUGAUGCUUUUUUAAUUUUGGAUCUAGUAAAAAUACAUAGCCUUCACCGGCAGGAUUCUAGUCUUGGCUUUCACCUCUCUAACUCAUCCGGCCCCAUUGGGAUUCCAGAAAUUGAAAUUUCUGUCUUCAAGGGGUUUUCAAAGCCUCGCCUCCCUUCGAUUUUUGUGGAUCGGGAAUUGCACAAAUCUUACAUCAUUUCCCGAGGUCGAGGAAAAGAGCGGCCCAAACUUGCUCGCAUCCCUUGGGUUAUGAUAGAUGGAAAAUUCAUAUACGAUCCAGAGUCAGAGGUGUUGAUUCUCUUAUUAAGGUCAGCUGAUUUCUAUUAUCCACUCUGACAAUCUCCUAUUAGUGUUUUUCCCUUUUUUUUUUUCAAAAUUUUGCAGUUCCGUAUAAUUGAAAAUGCCACUCACUUGUUUCCUAUUAGUAUGUUGAGGCUAUUUGCUUUCUAUCGGUGUUUGUUAAGGUAAUUACUCACAGAUGAAAUUAUAACUUUUAUCUUAAAAUUUAUUGCCAUUGACAGAUGGACGAUUUUUAGUCCAAAGUUUUGUUAUUAACUUCAAUCAAAAUUUUAGAUUGCAGAUUUUUGUCAAUUAUUUCAUUUUUUAUUUUUAUUUUAAAGCAGAAUUGGAGUAUAACAUUUGGAGCGCGCAUACUCUGAUGCAUGCAAUUAACUGUUUUUAAUCGUUGGAUUUUGAAAUUAAUGAUGGUAAGAUGUGUACUUAUUUUUUCUUCCGGACAACCUUGCCUUCUUUCUUCGGUAGCAUAUCUAAUGAAUAUUUCUCUGUUUAGUUAAGGAUGAAUGCUUGGAGUGGUCUGAUUCACAACAACACCUCUUCCAGAAAAUAUGAUACAAGGCAAAGCCAUGUUCUGAAGCAGAAAUGAUACAGCAGUUGCGGUACCCGAGGUACCUUUUGCAUUUAACUUGCCUUUAUUUGUUUUGCUUGUGACUUAAGAACACAUCAUUUCCCAGAGAUUUGGAGAAGCAUCUCAAGAUGCUUAACAAACUUGACAAGCUUCAAGAUGCACUUGCUCCCAAGCAUUGAUUCUUCACAAUGGAAAACCUGUGAGUACACUUAUGCCCGCAAUUAUUGUUAAGUGUUUGCAAUUUUGAUGCAGCGAAAUGGUUUGUGGAUGCAAAGCUUUAAAACUGUUAAGAACUACCCUGCAGGCUUGUUGGAUGUUGUAUACUUCAAAAGCCACCAACACCAAGAACUACAACAGCAAGACUAGGUUUGCGUUGCUUCAAUCAGCUGAAAUAAUGAUGCAAAUGACACUAUCAAGCUGGACUUAGAGACUUGUCAGGUCAAUCAUCCAUUUCAUCAACAGUUAAUGUCAUGAUGGUGGCUAUCAGAGGAAACAAAAGAUCUGUUGGAAUCAAUUCAAACAGUGAGAAGCAUGAGAGGAGCAUUGAUUAUAAAUAGGCUCAAUGAGCUCAUGCUGGUAAGUGGUAAUUAAGAAAUUUGUGAGCUUAGUAUAGUUUCAAUUUUUUUCUGUUUGGGAUAUAGUUGAUAAGUUGAUACUCUGAUUAAGAAGCCUGAUUAUAGUAGCUGACUGUGCUAACUGCGUUCUUUUAUUUUUUAUUUUUUUGGUUUGCCGUCGUUUUUUCUUUUGAUUAUUUGUUCAACAUUAGAUUGAUCUGUUGAAGACUACGAGGAAGAUCCAGACUUGGAUGCAGGCGUGCAGCUCGUAAUAGGUGAGAACAAAUGAAUGCUUUAACCAUGUUUCUCACUUAUGACAAUGCACGGAUCAAAGGCAUCUGAGUUGAUCCUGAAAAUGUGAUGGAAAUAGGUCUCUGUUUUCAUAAAACAGAACAAAUAGAGAUCUCUGAUCACGCCUGAGAAUUCAUUGCAUUGAAAUUUCUACCAUUGGCAAACAUAGAAUAAACUGGGGAUACAUUAGCUUUAGACUCUAUUUUGAGGAGGAAGUUUGUACUUGCAGCCUAUAAAAUCAUAUCCCUGUUGUAUGUUUCUUUGGGAAAUGAAAGAUUCUGUGUGUUCUUUUAUUUCAAGUUUGCUGAAAUCACAUUUGUUUUCUAAGAUGCUUUACAGAAGGUACCAACAUCAUUUUCAAAAAUGCUGGGGUAAGAUACAUCGUGCAGUGCUCCUCAACAUGAGAAUUCCUGGCCGCAUUACCCAUAUGUGGAAUGAUCUGAGAGUACAACCGUGAGAAUGUUGUAAGGAGUACACAACCAGAUGUGAGUAGUUUGAAAAUGAAUUCGCAUGGAAUGAUUUCUUGCCAGUGCAGAAAUGGCUUGGUUCAAAAUAUGCUCAGCUUCAUUGACACUCUUCGGUAGGCCUCUCCGUCCUUCCAUUCUUAACUACAAUACUACUCUUGUCUGUCUAGUUAUGGAAUCUCUCUUUUAAUCCUCAAAGUUUGAAUUAUAUUAUAUUGCCUCUGUGUUACCGCAGAAACUGAGUCAGUUGGUGAUCCUUCAAAACAAGAAAAACCAAAAACAGAUACAGCGCGCGAUAAGAUAAUGAGACAGAUGGCUCCCGUUGCUGCAUGCCACUUGCUUGUGUGCGUAUUGGGACCAUCAUCAACAACAUUGACGUAAACCCAGCUCAAGGUGGGAAGCUAGUUCGAGCUGCAGGGACGUUAACCAAGAUUUUGAGAAAGAACCCACUUCAAGGUGUUGCUUAGUUAGGCUACGUUGUGGAAAUGAGAAAGUGAUUGACCCUAGAUGUCGCGCCACCAUUGGUACAGUGUCUAACCCCAGCCAUGGAGCUAAAAAGCUUAGUAAGGCAGGUCAGAGAAGUUGGUUGGGUCGAAGAGCUGUGGUUAGAGGAGUAGCCAUGAUUCCAGUUGAUCACCCUCAUGUUGAACAAAGCAAAAGUAGCGGUAACAAUGGAAGGUGUUCACUCACACCUUGGGGCAAGCCUUGUAAGUCUGGGAAUUAAACUGCAUCUCCUAAGAAGAAAGAGAAAUCAGCUGUCUGAUAAUAUUGUCCUUUUCUGCUAUUUGGUCUUUUUAACAUUGUUACACUGUUUUUACAUCUUUGAGGUUAGUUUUAGACCAAUUUUUAACUGAUCCAUAAUGAAACUGAAGUUUAAUUUUUGAUUAAACUUUCACUGGUUUUACUCUUCUGUCACUUCAAUUUAGCAUUGAUUUAAGAUACUGAAUUCUGUGCUUGGAGCUUGUAAAUUGGAAAGAGAUAUUUUGGGAUAGAAUGUAGAUUUUGUGUUUUGCUUUCUCAAGCUAGUUGUGACUUCUUAAAAGAGUCAAUCCAUGUCUUUAUAUAUUUUUCUUUUGUCUUGAUUCUGUUUCUUCAUACAGAUUCUUAUUUUAUGCUUCACAUACCACAUGAAAGAUGAAAGCCUUUUCUGUGAUUAGAAUUGACUUGCAUUAUAGUAACUUUAAACCACUUGGAUAUUUUUAUAAUAGCAGUCUGAGAUCUCCUUAAAGGAUUCAAAAGCAUCCACUGGCAUCCACUUUACUCGUAUCGGUCAAAAGUUUUGUGCAAUACAAUAUUAGCUUGACUGUAGCGCAGAGGAGAACAGGUUGGUGUUGGUCUGAAUUCUGAUAUUUGAAUAAAUAUAACAGCUCAUGUGACUCCACCACUUUUUACUUGUUCUGUAGUCUGUACCUACCUCCAUUGUCGGCACUGCCCAUACAAGGUCUUUUAGCUUUUUAAAAAGUUUCAUGAUAUUCCAUAGUUCACAUGGAUUUCUACAGUUUGUAGAAAACCUAAUUAGGGCACAUUUAAUUACUAUGCAGAAGAUUCUUUUAUCUUGCUCACCAAUAAUUCUUUGUACUUAUUUGAAAGAUGUGUUUCAAAAAAAUAAAAAAAAACUAUUUGAAAGAUGAGAAAUCCCUUAGCCGAACGACAAACUCAUCUAUCAGUCCUAUCAAAAAAAAAAAAACUCAUGUUUUAGUGGUUUUUUUUUUUCACUUGUAUUCAGUCGCACAAGUGAAGAUUGUGGGCAAUUUUUUCCUUGAGUAAAAUUGGAAUAGAUGUUUUUAUUGACACAAAUUUUUGAGCUAUGUUUGGGAAACCCUUAGACUUAAGACUUUGUUACGAUGAUAUGUAUCUAAGCUUUCAACAGACCGUUGAGGUCUUAUUAUCAAAAUACUAGAAAUUUACAAUUCAAUUUUGGUAAGGACCAAUUUAAUAAUGCUGUAAUUUUUAAAAUAAUUACCGUUAACUGUGUUGUAAAAAUAAUCAAUUAUGAAGAAAAUUAAUUAAACAUUUAGUAAACUUUAUUUUUACAAGUGCUUUGAAUUUUAAAAAUAGUCAUAUGUGUUCAGAAAAUCUCACUUCUAAAAUAGUAUAAGAAUGGAAAAAACUUAAAAAGACAAAUGUAUAAUAUUUAUUUACACAUGCAUUUAUAAAUAUGUGUAUAUAAUAACAUUUUAUGUGUACAUAUAAUAAUUGAUAACUAAAAUAAAUAUUUUUAUUUAUUAAUUAUUUUUUUGUCUCAAUGUAAUUGGUAAUACUUUUUUUUAAUCUUCUCAUCCUAAGUUUUUUUAUUGUUUUGUACAAAAUUCAAGGUUUGGACUUUUAUAAAAUGUCCACUCAAAAAUAAAUUGUUUUCUAACUAAGAUUUGUUGCUAAUGUAUAACUCAAAGUAAUACUAGCUAUUUGUAAUUUUAUUUCAAAAUUUUUAUUCAAAUGAUAUGGUAACUAAUGUACAUUAGUUGAUAGCAAUUUUUUUUUUUUUACAAUAUUCAAAUCAAUCAAUUGCAUCAUCUCAACAUUUUUAUGAUGUCGUGUUAUUUUAAACGAAUUUUUUAUUUUUAUAUAAAAUUUAUUAUGUUUAACAUCAUUUGCAUAACUUGACCUUUUUUUUUUCCUACAAAUAUUAAGUCAAAUUUACUCACCCUAUAUUUCUAUCUAAAAUCUACCUAAAACUCAUGCAUCACUGUAAAACAAAUCCAAAGAUUGCGGUACGUUUUUCUUGGUAACAAAUCAAUAAUUAGGUCAAGUACUACUACUAAGCGUGCUCAAUUAAUUCUAAAAUACUACGGUGAUCAAAAUCAUACUUGACGCAAGAGGAUAAGGGCUAAACCUCAAUUAGGCAUUAUUCAUCCAAAAUUCGUUGACCCGGCAUUCUUUGCAAGUUGUAGCACGGGACAGCUAAGAUUAGCAAAUGCUGUGGACCAUAUGCCCCCAUACAUUUGUGACAUGUGAAACUUGGCAUUAAAGGAAAGGCAACGUGUUAAAAUUUAAUAGCGCCCAAUUCUUCAUUGAAUGAUUAUCAGAUCCAAUGAGCAUCCUUUGAUUGGAUUAUUUUAAGUCAAUUAUUGGUGGAUUGGGGCCCACUUGACUCUACCAAAUCGGGCUCCACCAUAUCACCUAUUAACGACCACCUGUCCUUAUCAUAAAUAGCAAAUGUCACUUGUUUUAUUUUGUAUUUUACCAAAAGCAAAGUCACUAUGAACCCAAAUGAAAGUGACCCCAAUUUUGGGGGUCAUGAGCUUUGGAUUAUUAUGGACACAAGAGACAAGCGCAAAGUUUCUCAUUUAUCACCGGAUAAGAUUUAAGUUAUCAACCCAACAUUAAUAAAUUCUGCUUAAAGUAAAGUUUGAAGCUUCAUUUUGCGAAUAUUCAAUGGUUAACAUUUAAGUAAUUAACCUGAUAUUAAUCCAAUUAAACUUUUUAUGUAAUCCAAGUCAAAAAUAUGUUGAUAAACCUAAAUUAAUCUAAUUGGACAUAUUAUUUCAACUUGAAAAGGCGAAUCUAUCAUUUUUCAAUUAAUUUUGAAUCAAGCUAUGUAAAAUAUAAGCUUAUUAAAGACAUAUUUUUAUCAUGUUAAAAUAUCGAAAUACUUCUUACUCGUUUCGUAAUAACAUUAACAAACCUUUUGGUAAAUUUGACAGUCCAAUCAAUUCAGUUGGUUUUUUGUUAUUGAAACUCCAACAAAAUUCAUCACGAUUAUUAAAAACCCAUUAAAAAAAAAUGAAGGUAACUAUUUAAAAAAUUCUAAUUGAAUUAUUUAACAACUACAUUUCAACUAAAUUGUGUUGCUAAUUAACUUCCUCAACUUAAACUAUAUUUUUCUCAAUUAAUUCAUAACAAAUAAUGUUAGAUAUUUUAUUCGAAUAAUAACAUUCAACAUCCUUAUUCUUUAUGAUUAUUGCAUAAAAACAUAUUUUAUCCAUUUACAUCACAUAUGUUCCUAAAUUGUAUAAGAAAAUCACCAAAUUUACUCUUGUAAGUUACUAUAUCAAUGAACAUGAAAUUCACUAAUCAUUAAAGUCUCGGAAUGACAUCAUGAGAGGGAUUCAGUUACAUUUAUUGAUAGGAUUAGAUAUAUGUCUUCUCAAAUAUUAGUAGGAGCAAUUUAACAGAUGCAGCUACUAAAAAUAUAGAAUUACUUAUCUCGUCAAUAACUAACGAUAUUUUUUAUCUAUGCUCAAUAAAUUGUAAUAUUUGUAGAUUGUAACAAUUGUUAAAAAAAAAGAGCUCCCUGAGACUAAAUGACAAAAGGACUGUUUUGAAAUAGAUAGAUAAAAUAUGCCCUUAUUUGAGAAAAUGUAAAACACUAGGGAUCUAAAUGUUAUUAUAAUCCCAUGCACAAAAAUACCAAAAAUAACUAAUAACAACUAACCGAAAAUCCCAGGCGUCAUAUUCCUUUUUUCCGCGUUUUAAAAUGCCCUCUGAUUCAUUCACAGUCAGACGCUGUCGGCAUUUCUCUUCUCUCCCUCUCUCUCCACGUAUUAAAACAUGUAAAGUACGGAAAAAUUUAAAAAAAAUUUUAAAAUUACAUAAUUUAAAAGAUAUAAAAUUAUAAAUUUUUAAAAUUAUACGGUUUUAAAAUUUUUUUAAAUUUUUUCGUAUUUUAAAAUUUCAGACUAAAAAAUUAUUAUACGAAUACUUCGUAUAACCGCUUUGCGCUUAAAAUCUGUGCCUAACAAACUCACGAAAUCACUCCUCAUUUUCCUCUCUCCCUCUCCUCCUCUCAUUCCCUUUCAAAUCCUUCCACCACCUUCCCCGCCUCUCUCUCUUUCUCUCUCCCCUCACCGCCACAGCUCAACUUUUCCAUGUAAACCACCACGGGCGCCGUCGUUUCAACCUCCCACUCAUCCGACGUCGUUUUGUGUGAAUAAGAUAACGAUUUAAAUUAAAAUACGAAAAUGGAGAACUUAACGGCGCAGUUGAAGCGAGGGAUAUCGCGGCAGUUCUCGACGGGAUCGCUGCGGCGGAGCCUGACGAGGCAGAUGUCGAGGCAGUCGUCGUUCGAUCCGAGGAGGAAUAACAUGAGGUUUAGCUUCGGGAGGCAGUCGUCGUUGGAUCCGAUACGCAGGAGUCCGGUUCAGGACGAGUUGACGGUGCCGGAGAACCUUGACUCGACGAUGCAGCUGUUGUUUAUGGCAUGCAGAGGUGACGUCAAGGGAGUCGAGGAUUUGCUGAACGAAGGCAGUGAUGUCAACAGCAUUGAUCUUGACGGACGGUUUUGGCGAGAAAUCAAAGAAUUAAGAGACAAUAUUUAGUUAAGCUAAUAGUAUUUGUUCUGUUUAGUACGUCGUUUUACCAACAAGCAUCCCGGCAUUGCACGCAUUAAUAAAUUUUUUUUAUCUGUUUGGACUGAUGGUGGUAAAAAAUUCCACAUACUUUAUAUUAAAAAGGAAAAAGGACAAACACACCCCUAACGUCAACUUGGAGGGGGGUCGAUUCCGAGCUCAAGAAGUGGGAAAGAAGAAAGCUGAAGAUGAUUCAGGCGGUGCUCAAUGGUGGGUAUGACGGCAAAAAUAAGUUGGAGGUUUUCUAUGAAUUUGAACAUCUAAGAACAUUCUUCCCAUUACACAUAAGAGGUGGCUCCAAAACUGGUUACAUAACUCGUAUGGUUCUAACUGAUUUGUUGCCGAAGUUUAAAAGGUUGAGGGUGCUAUCUUUACAAGGAUACCAUAUUGGACCAAUUCCAUUUGAAGAUUUGAGACUUCAAAGUAUAAUUACCCAAAGUGUAUACAAUAAAAGCCAAAUUUAAGAAAUUCCUGAACCUUGCUGACACUGACAUAAGAAGUUUACCAGAGUCAACAUGCUCAAUGUUGAACUUGGAAAUUUUGAUAUUAAGAAAUUGUUUCCGUUUGAUGAUACUCCCACCCAAAAUGAGGAACUUGGUUAAUUUACACCCAGACUCUUUUCUUUUGACAUGGGGUUAACGAUCAAAGUUGGUUUCGUGCGGUAUAUAUUUACAAAUUGAUAGGUAUGCCUGGUGUUGAUGCAGGAUUCCGGUUCUUCUCGUUCUACGACCAGGAUCUCUGCUCGAUCAACUUCGUCACGACCAGGAGGUCUCCUCGCAAGACUUUUUCUCCAGAGAUUCCUGCGCACACAGACAAGUCAGAGUACGCCGGUUGUUUUCCCGGCGCAAACCCUCCGACGCUCAAGUCAGAUAUGAAGGUUCGGGGAACGCUUGCCACCGAUCUUAUGGCUUUUUCGUGGUUUUCUCUUCUUUUUAAUUCCUUUUCUAAUGAGAAAAAUGCCAACCCUUUUACCUCGUCGGCUACCUUUUUAUAGGCUUCCUCUGAAUCCCAGUUUUCCGCUCUUUUCGAGACGGUAUGGGACUCUGACUGCUGUGUUAUGGGCAAACGUGGGAUCUUGCGUGUUACGCCACCGUUCUGGGAAAAGCGCGGCAGUCGUGGUUCUGUGAGAUCUUGCGUGUUACGCCACGGUUCUGGGGAAAGCGUGGCUGUCGUGCUUAGGUUCUCGGGCUGGAGAGCAUGUCUCGUCAACUGCCGUCGACCGGGUCUCCUCGCCUCUCGACCUCUAGCCGGAAUGACCUUAUGCCUCUUACAGGAAAUUGGCCUCGCGGAUGACCUGCUCGUGGACGAGCAGGAUAUUUCUGCUCCUGUUCCCCCGCGUACCAGGCUUUUACGGGACACACCGGUUCGCAGAACUCUGCCAUCAGAUAUCUGCUCACCGUGCCUGGUCUCGUCGACGUAUUUCUCCCAAACACCGGUCCCCCAGUUUCUGGUGUUGGGUAAUGUAGUGGACCAGCAGUAGAAACUCGUUAGUACUCGCCCGCGUGGGAUUGGAAAAGGCUGCCAAGAGUCAUGUCGCAUUUAAUUGCGGACGAGGUGACGUGGCAGAAAUCCCCCCCUCCAUUUGAAUUUCAAACCGACGGUUAUGAGAUCCUCGGGAUUCAGCGCCGUUAAAUGCUGGCAACCCAAGAGUCCGUCCUCAUUAGGAAAACCAAAUCCUCUCGAACGGCAUAUUCGUCAUUCACUCCGUCUCCGUCUCUGUCUCCCCGGCAAAGAGGUUCCGGCAUAAAAGCCCUCCAUCUCUGAUUUUCACCGACUGAACCGUUACUUCAGGUAUUUCUUCUAUCUCCUUGGUCUCGGAUAGUUGUAGAUAAUUUCUCUUCUCUUCUGUUGGGUAGUAGUUGGUGGUGUUGUGGUUAGAGCUUAGGGAAUGUCGAAAGGCAAAGAGAAGGUCAUUGAGGUUGGUGACGACGAGUUGGACUUCCUGCCUAGUCUGCUCACCGAUCCUGCUUUUGACCCCGGGAUCCCCUUAGAGCCCAUUAGGUCUAGUGUCGGGACUAGUGCUAGGAGGAUGUCUCCCCAAACAACCUCUACGAGCGGAAGUAAUGGUGAGGAGAGAUCUUCUGGCUCCGAGGAUACUUUGAGUGAGAAUGGCGAAGGUGACUCUGGUGAGGUGUCUCCAUCUGGAACAUCACGACCAGAAGAACGGGGUAUAGUAGGAGGCAGAGCCUUGUCGCGCGAUUAUGCCAUUGAUUACAUGACGUGCACGACCUCGUUUGACGAGCUCAAUGACCUCCGGCUUAGGUAUAGCAUUCCUGGUGAGAUACCUCUCAAGGUCCCAGGAAAGAAGGAUGCUCCCAGCCGGCCUCCUAGGGGAUAUGUUACCCUGUAUCUGGACAGCUUUAAGUACGGGCUGAGGUGUCCCUUGCAACCUUACUUUGCCCGGAUACUUAACGGGCUAAAUCUAGCUCCUGGUCAGCUGAAUCCCAAUGGGUGGAGAGUGCUCUCUGGUCUGUUCAUAUUGUGGGACAGAUGUUGCCAAAGCGAGCCCACGGUUGAUGAGGUGAAGCACCUGUACCAGCUAAAGAGCAGCCCCAAAGAUGCCGUCUGGUACUACUUCCAAUCUAGCACCAAGAGCAGGAAACCUAUAACCGACCUCCCUACUGGUGGUGGUGGGAAUUGGAAGAGAAAAUUCUUUUUUGCUGGGGGUCCUUGGGGUCAGGUUGCACAAAUGGACGGGAAGGAUUAUCGGGUCCCACCCCGUUUCACGGUCCCAGGUUGCCUGCUCGCUUUAGAUGUCUUGUAUCCACAAUUGUUAUUGCUUUAUUGGCUUGUCUCUAACCAAGUGUCUGUUUGCGUUGUAGUUUCUUGGGGUGUUCACUUCCCGCUCCCACCUGACCAGCUCAAACGGGUCAAGGCUGUGCUCGCCAAUUCCUGCUCGAGUCGAGAACUGCUAACUACAUACAACUUGCUCGAAUCUCGCUUGAUACUUCCUGGCCAUAGGAUGGAGGACGCCGUGAUUGGGGCUCUGACCCGAAAACGUUCUCGACCUCCAACCACGAAGAGGGACCAGGGUAAGGAUGCCCCUGCUGCAAAGCGGGCCAGCAUCGUGCAGCAGGUCCCACCCUUGGAGAUUUUACCUCCUGCUCCUGAAAAAGUCGGGGAAGCUAGUGGAGCAGCCACAGAUCCUGCUUCCUCAUCUGUUCCUGUCGGGCCUCGAUCUCGCUUACCUGACAGCCGAGCAGAACACCUGGUCCCCUACCUCAAUGAGUUGUCUAAACUCGUGAGCAAGAAGGACCUGGAGGACUUCGACGGCUGCACCUUGGGUGAGCUGGUGGGGGCCAUGCAGCAUAGCGCUUUCCACCUCAGCUGCAUGACCACCUAUUACAAGGCUAAGGUUGGUCGAUACGAUCGGAAAAUGAAGGGGGAUAUUCAAUCGGCGACGACCAGAGCUGACAUUGCCGAGAAGAAAGCAGGGGAGCUGAACCUCGAGAAUCUGAAGCUGAUAGAGCAAGAAUCACUUGCUCAAGCAAAGACCAUUACCCUCGAGGAGGAGCUUACCAAGGUCAAGGAGGAUCUGCAAAGGCAGAAGGCUAUGUAUGAGGCCCAGCUCGAAUCUCUCCGGGACUCCAACCGAGCUCAGGUCGAGAACUUGGAGAGGGAGGCAGAGAAUCAGUACGACCAGGGACUUCGGCAUUCCUAUCGUUGCAUCAUGGCCGUCCUCGGGAAGCAACACCCUGAUCUGAAGAUGGAUGACCUUGCGGCUGGUGUUGCCCAACAUAUGGACGAGGAGGCGGCCAAGGAAGAUGCUGAAGGGGUAGAGCCGAUCGUGAUCGAGGAGGAAAGCUCUCCUCCUCGUGCAGUCCCUGCUGAUGUUGGCGAGGCGAGCACCCCUCCGGACGCAACUGGCGAUACCCCUCCCGCACCUGAGGAGGUCCAGUCAACCGAUGCUGCUCGGCUCACUGAUCUACCAUCUUUUUGAUAUAUUUCUUUUUGUAUUGUAAUAAACAACGUUUAUGAAAUUUAUCCCCUCUGUUAGCCAUUAACACAUUAAUAAAGAUGUUUUUUGAUUACUUUCUCGUCUUGUAAUCAUCACUUAUUUUCCGUUUGGGAAUCUGCUCGUCUCGUCUGGUCGAGCAGGUUCUGGUUUGGCAUAUGGUUUUGCAACAUGCCUUAGAAAAAUUUCUUUUUUUUUUUUUUUUUUUUUUUUUUUUUUUUUUUUUGCUUGGGGAUUCUGCUUGCCUUCGCGUGGUCGAGCAGGUCCUGGCAUGCUUGGCUUCAGUCUCGCCAUAAAAAGGCUUUGAGACUUGGUGAGGCCUUUGCAUGCCUUAGAAAACUUUUUCGAUGCUUGGGGAUUCUGCUCGACUUCGCUCGGUCGAGCAGACCCUAGCAUGCUUGGCUUCCGUCUCGCCAUAAAAAGGCUUUGAGACUUAGUGAGCCUUUGCAUGCCUUAGGUGGCUUCUUCAAAGCUUGGGAUUCUGCUGCCUUCUCGUGGCCGAGCAGAUCCGGGCAUGCUUGGCUUCUGUCUCGCCAUAAGACAGGCUUUGAGACUCGACGAGCCUUUGCAUGCCUUAGAUGGCUUCUUCGAAGCUUGGGAUUCUGCUGCCUUCUCGUGGCCGAGCAGAUCCGGGCAUGCUUGGCUUCUGUCUCGCCAUAAGACAGGCUUUGAGACUUGACGAGCCUUUGCAUGCCUUAGAAAUUUUCUUGGUUUCAAGCGAAAGGAAUUCCUCGACGUUCCAUUAAUGGCAGGAUUCGGCUUACAUGAACUUGUUUGGACAUAAAGCGUGAAAGAUAAACGAUAAUGAUCAUGAGCAAAAAUAGCUUUCAGAUGUGAACAAAUCUUACUGGAAGUAUUUUCGGAGGUGUGCUGCGUUCCAUGGGCGUUUCAGCUCGUGGCCGUCCGUGCGAACCAGCUUGUAAGCUCCGGGUCCCGCUAUCUGCUUGACUCUAUAUGGCCCUUCCCAAUUCGGUCCCAGCACUCCUUGAGUCGAAUCUUUGGUGCUCUGAUUCACUCUUCUCAGUACCCAGUCUCCGACCUUGAAUUGCCGUAUGUUCACCUUCUGGUUAUAAUACCGAGCAACCCUCUGUUGGUAAAGGGCUGAUCGCUCGGCUGCUUGCUCCCUCCUUUCCGUUAGCAGAUCAAGAUUCAAACAUAUCUGCUCGUCGUUCUCCUGCUCGUUGAAAUGACCUGUCCGGUGUGUGGUCGUUCCUAUCUCAGCCGGCACGACCGCUUCAUGUCCGAAAGCCAAAGCGAACGGUGUCUCCCCAGUUGCGGUUUUGUGGGUUGUUCUGUAUGCCCAUAGCACACCUGACAGCUCGUCAACCCACGCACCCUUUUUUGCUCCAAGCCUGGUUUUCAAAAGCCUCUUGAUGGUCUUGUUGGCUGCUUCUACUUGUCCAUUCGAUUGAGGGUGAGCAGGCGAGCAAUACUUCAGCUCUAUCCCGAGGUUCUGGCAGAAAUCCCUGAAGCUGUGAUUAUCGAACUGCCUGCCAUUAUCCGUUACCAAGGCAUAAGGGAUCCCGUAUCGACAGACCAGGUUUCUCCACACGAAGUCUGUUGUUUUCUUCUUUGUGAUCCUGCUAAGGGCUUCUACCUCUAUCCACUUCGUGAAGUAAUCUAUAGCAACUAUUGCAUGUGUUGCUGCUCCUUGUGCCUUUGGCAAUGGGCCGAUCAGAUCAAUUCCCCAUUGAGCAAAUGGCCAAGGGGAGGCCAUGGAGGUGAGCUUCUCUGGGGGUUGGUUAGAGAAAUUUGCAAAACUCUGGCAGCUUACACAACUCCUGGUCUUCUCUUGCGCAUCCUGGUGCAUUGUCGGCCAGAAAUAUCCCUGCCUAAGAACCUUGUGGGCCAGGGACCUCCCGCCAGAAUGAUUUCCGCAAAUUCCUUCAUGUACUUCUCUCAGUACGUAAUCCGCGUCGUCCUCAUCCAAACACCGAAGGAACGGUAGUGUAUAUCCUCGCCGAUACAGCGCCCCAUCAAUCAUCGUGUAUCUCGAGGCCUGGGCUCUAAUCUUGCGAGCUCGCAGCUUAUCUGGUGGUAAUACUCCGUCUCUAAGGUAUGAAACUAUCGGGUCCCUCCACGAGCAUUUUUGUUCUAUCCGCAACACCCCCGAAUUCUGAUCGAUACUUGGGCUGGACUUCACCUCCAGAGGGACCGACUUUGGCAUUUUUGGGUCGGCUACUGCUGCCAUCCUCGCCAAAAUGUCUGCUCGACUAUUCUGCUCCCUGGGGAUCUGUACCACCUCCACUGCUUCGAACUUCCCCAUCAUCUGCCUGACUAUCUUCAGGUACUGCUCCAUCUUCUCCUCUCUUGGUUGGAAUCUUUCACUGACGUGAUUCGCAACCAGCUGGGAAUCAGUUCUGAUCUUAACUCUGUCUUCUUUCACGGCCUUAGCCAAUUCCAGACCUGCUAUCAAGGCUUCAUACUCUGCCUGGUUAUUUGUGGCUGCAAAUUCCAACUUUACAGCAUAAGAGAUCUCCUCCCCCUCAAGGCCUUCCAGGACAAUCCCUGCUCCUGAACCCCGCUCCCCUGAUGACCCGUCCACAGACAUCUGCCAUACUUGAUUUUCGUCAUUGCCUAUAACUGCAUCCUGUUGAUCUGAGCAUACUUCGGGCUCUGUGAAUUCAGCUACGAAAUCGGCCAUUGCCUGGGCUUUUAUCGCUGCGCGGGGUUUAUAGUCUAUGUCGAACUCGCUCAGCUCUACAGCCCACUUGACGAGCCGACCAGAGGCAUCUGGCUUGUGCAGAGUUUGACGCAAUGGCUGGUUUGUUAUUACCGAGACCGGGAAUGCUUGAAAAUAUGGCCUCAACUUCCGAGCAGCAACCACAAGGGCAAGUGCCCAUUUCUCCAACAGUGGGUAUCUAGUCUCAGCGUCGAGUAGGGCCUUGCUGGUGUAGUAUAUCGGAUACUGAACUCCUUCUUCCUCUCUCACCAGAACAGAACUGGCGGCCCGAUCCGACACCGCCAAAUACAGAUACAACUUGUCCCCAUCCCUUGGUGUGGACAGCAGCGGAGCUUGCUGCAAGUAUUGCUUCAAGUUCUGGAAGGCUUCCUCGCACUCUGGGGUCCAUUCUGUUUUCUUUCCCCUCCUUAUCACUUGAAAGAAUGGCUGACACUUAUCUGUAGCCUUGGAGAUGAAUCUGCUCAACGCCGCCAACCUCCCUGUGAGGCUCUGCAUCUCCUUCAGGUUACGAGGAGACGUCAUUUGCACAAUCGCCUGGAUUUUCUCGGGAUUUGCUUCAAUCCCCCUAUGGCUCACCAUGAAUCCAAGGAAUUUCCCUGACUCGACCCCAAAAGCACACUUUUCCGGGUUGAGCUUCAUCUUAUACUUCCUCAAAAGCUCGAAUGUCUCCUCGAGGUGUCUGACAUGUUCCUUCGGGAUUUUGGACUUGGUGAUCAUGUCAUCCACGUACACCUCCAUGGUUUUCCCAAUCAACGGCUUAAAGACUUUGUUCACCAGCCUUUGAUAGGUGGCCCCAGCAUUUUUGAGACCGAACGGCAUUACCCUGUAACAGAACAAACCUUGGUUAGUGACGAAAGCCGUGCUCUCCUCAUCCUGCUCGUACAUGGGGAUCUGGUUGUAUCCCGAGAACGCGUCCAUGAAGCUGAGCAGACCAUGUCCAGCCGUUGAAUCUACUAGCUGAUCGAUCUUUGGUAGAGGGAAGCUGUCUUUUGGGCACGCCUUAUUGAGGUCUGUGAAAUCCACACACAUCCUCCACUUGCCGUUUGCCUUCUUUACCAACACCACAUUCGAUAUCCACUCAGGGUAACUGACUUCCCGAAUGAACCCUGCUCUCAAGAACUUCUCCACCUCGCUAUUUAUUGCCUCAUACAUCUCCUGGUUGAAGCACCUCCUCUUCUGCCUUACUGCCCGAGCACCUUUCUUUAUUGCCAGCUUAUGACAUGCUACCUCAGGGUCAAUCCCUGGCAUGUCUUCAUGUGUCCAAGCAAACACAUCAGAAUGAGCCUGUAAGCAUUUCACCAACUCCUGCUUUUGCUCUCCCUCAAGCCUCGACCCGAUUCUGAUCAUCUUUCCCGGAUUCUCUGGUCCCAGGCUUACUGUUUCCAGAUCUUCUACAGGUUCUUGUCUGCCCUUCUUGUUUUCCACUCGGGUAUCGAGGGAUGUUAUCUGCAUUGCUUCCCUUGCUGCCGAGGAGUAGCAGCUUCUUGCGAUCCUCUGGUCUCCUCGUACCACUCCUACUACCCCAUUCACCCGGUACUUCAGAGCGAGAUAGUGGUUGGACAACACCGCUUUGCUCAUCCUUAAAAAUGGCCGACCUAGGAUCAUCUGGUAAGGACCUUCCUCGUCCACUACGACAAAGUCCAGUAUCAUUGUUCUUUCUGUCAGGGAGCUCCCAAUUGUGAUAGGCAGCUCGACCACGCCCAGAGGGACCAGCUUCCCUCCUCCGAACCCCUUCAAGGAGGUAUUGGUGUAUUCCAACUUUCGGUCGGCUAUUCCCAUCUCUUCCAGGGUUGACUUAAAUAACACAUCAACUGAGCUCCCUGUAUCAAUCAGUAUCCGGUCAAACUUCUUGCUAGCGACAGUAGCCUUGAUGACUAAAGCAUCAUCGUGGGGGUAUAGAAUCCCUUCCUCAUCCUCAUCCGUCCACAUGAUUGGCACUUGCCUGACCCUUGCUCGUUUGGCUGCUGGGGUGUUGAAGAGUACCUCUUUACUGGUCAUGGCGUACCUAGCAUAAUUUUUUCUCGAUCUGUUGGAAUCUCCGGCCAAUGUUGGGCCCCCAGCUAUCACCCUUACUGCGGGCUGCUCGCGCCUCAAGUUUCUACCACUCUGCUCCCCUUCACCUGUUGUGGCCACCAUCGGGAAAGUCCCAUCCAUAAACUCGUCCAGGUACCGAUUUCUCACCAAAUCUUCGACCUGGAUCUUGAGAUCUCUACACUCUGCCGUGGUAUGGCCAUGGGUGCCAUGGAACUUACAAUAACGUCUUCUAUCCCUCCUGUUGGGUAGCUUUGUUAUUGGUGUAGGGAGGUGCAGCAGACCUCGAUCCUUUAUGGCCUCGUACACCUCAUCCAGGGACAUCUUCAAGGAAGUGUACCGCCCAUAGUCCGGGUCCUGGUCGAUCAGGUGCACUGCUCUUUCUCUGUUUGCCCCGCUUUGAGUUGGGGGCGGUGGAAGUAAUUCUGGUCUGCUCGCUCUGCUACCAUGUUGGUGAAGACCACCAGAUGCCGACUCAUGCCUUCUCCAAGGCUCCCUAGCUGGGGAACGAGGAGGUUGCGCCCCGCUGCGCUGAUACUGUGGUGGCCUCUGAUGAGGCUGGUAAGCAGUUACCCGACCUCCUGCUCUACUACCGGAGGCCUGGUGGUCUCUCCUCCUGAUCGGCCCAUUCCCCGGUAAUGCUUUCUUCUCUUUCCUCCCCAACCCUUCCAACUGGUCUGUCUUAAUCCGUGCAGCCUUCUCCUCUUCAAUCUCGAUGUCUCUCUUAGCCUGUUCGUAUGCGGCUGCAUACGUUUGAAUAGCUGGGCUUCUCAAAUUGUACCACAACCUUCCUAUCUUCACCCCUUCUUUCAAUCCCCUUAACGCCUGAGGGUGGUUGAAGGCUCCCAAGUCGAGGACAGCCCGAUGAAACCUCUUGAUGAAUUCCCGAAGGGUUUCUUGCUCCCCCUGUUUCAUGCUUUUCAGCUCCAUCAUGUCGUCUUCCGGUGCCAUUGCCCCACUAAACUGCUCCGCGAAUUCCUGGCACAUCUGCUCGAAGGUUUUAAUGCUGCCCCGAGGAAGUUUCCUGUACCAUUCUCGUGCACGUCCCUCAAGGGAUAGUGGGAACACCCUGCACCUUUGGGAUUGAGAUAAUCCUUGUACCCCAGUUAUGUCGUUGAAGCGCUCUAUAUGCACCAGCGGAUCAGUUCUUCCCGAGUAUCUGAGGUCUGGGAGGCGGAAAUCUCUCGGAAUAACUGCCCUCAUGAUUUCUGUUGCGAGCGGCGAUUCUCCGUCCAGCAUUAUCCUCCAACCAGGGGCUCUGUUCCUUCCUUGCAUGUCGUCAAUUAUCUGCGCUAGUCUGCGCACUUCCCCCUCCAGCUGCAACGCACGACCAGGGUCACGUGCUGCAACUUGAUCCCACUCUUGCUCUACAUCAUGCAAGUGUUGCCUCAACUCUGUUUCCUCUGCAUUCACCACCCCGUCGCCCUCGUCACCAGUCUGUCUUGCUGGGGACUGCUCUCUUUCUCUAUGAAAUUCUCCCUGCAGAGGUACGUUACCUCUCUCACCACCAAAUCUCCCGGGGGUUUGACUUCUCCCCGCACUAUCGGGACCUGGUGCCACUCCACCGCCUCUCACCCUUCCCUCUUGGGUUACCCUUCGCUCGCUCCGCAGCUCAUGCAGGAUGGUUGUCAAGGUCUCCAUCUGCUUUUCCAUCCGUUCCAUCUGGUCGAACAUGACUUUUUCCCGUGCUUCGCUGACUAUCUCCCUCAGCGUCACGGAAUCGUUAAGCCUCCUAUCACCCCCUUGUGCACUACUUCUUCCUGUCUCCAUUGCUUUUCACUUGCUUCACCCCUCUUCUUGCUAUCAACAGAAGCUUUUUGCUCUGGUCCCCACAGACGGCGCCAAAAUGUUGAUGCAGGAUUCCGGUUCUUCUCGUUCUACGACCAGGAUCUCUGCUCGAUCAACUUCGUCACGACCAGGAGGUCUCCUCGCAAGACUUUUUCUCUAGAGAUUCCUGCGCACACAGACAAGUCAGAGUACGCCGGUUGUUUUCCCGGCGCAAACCCUCCGACGCUCAAGUCAGAUAUGAAGGUUCGGGGAACGCUUGCCACCGAUCUUAUGGCUUUUUCGUGGUUUUCUCUUCUUUUUAAUUCCUUUUCUAAUGAGAAAAAUGCCAACCCUUUUACCUCGUCGGCUACCUUUUUAUAGGCUUCCUCUGAAUCCCAGUUUUCCGCUCUUUUCGAGACGGUAUGGGACUCUGACUGCUGCGUUAUGGGCAAACGUGGGAUCUUGCGUGUUACGCCACCGUUCUGGGAAAAGCGCGGCAGUCGUGGUUCUGUGAGAUCUUGCGUGUUACGCCACGGUUCUGGGGAAAGCGUGGCUGUCGUGCCUAGGUUCUCGGGCUGGAGAGCAUGUCUCGUCAACUGCCGUCGACCGGGUCUCCUCGCCUCUCGACCUCUAGCCGGAAUGACCUUAUGCCUCUUACAGGAAAUUGGCCUCGCGGAUGACCUGCUCGUGGACGAGCAGGAUAUUUCUGCUCCUGUUCCCCCGCGUACCAGGCUUUUACGGGACACACCGGUUCGCAGAACUCUGCCAUCAGAUAUCUGCUCACCGUGCCUGGUCUCGUCGACGUAUUUCUCCCAAACACCUGGUAUGACUGCUUAUGCUGGAUUUUAUGAGGUGUGCUCUCCUAAGCAAGGAGAGUGGGUCUUAAUAUGGGCAAGGGUGCAGUUGGUCAGCUUAUGGGGCAGUUUGCAAAGUUACUGGGCUGCUAUGUUGUCGGAAGUGCUGGAAGCAAAGACCAGGUAUACAAACAAACAAUCCGUAUCAGUUGCUUGAUUGUUCCCAUUUUGCUUUCAAAAUAUCUAACUUACAUAAGGAAAAUUUUCACCAUCUCGUCUUUUCUUUGAUUUUGAACGCUAAGAUUGAUCUACUGAAGAAUAGGUUUGGGUUCGAUGAGGCGUUCAACUAUAAAGAAGAUCCUGAUUUGAAUGCAGCCUUGAUAAGGUUAGUAUAUCAGCAAACUACAAAUUAGAAGACAUUUUUUCCUGAAAAUCAAAUAAUGUUUCUAAUUUGACAGGUGGUUUCCUGAAGGCAUUGACAUAUACUUUGAAAACGUUGGUGGGAAAAUGCUCGAUGCGGUGCUGAUCAACAUGAAAAUCGGUGGUCGAAUUGCUGUGUGUGGGAUGAUCUCGCAGUACAACCUUGACGAACCCAAAGGCGUACACAACUUGACGCGUCUUAUUUCGAAACGGGUUCGGAUGGAAGGAUUCCUCGUAUCGGAUUACAAUAAACUCUAUCCGAAAUUUCUGGAAAUGAUCAUUCCUCACAUCAAGGGGGGAAAGAUUGUAUACAUUGAAGACACGGCUGAAGGUCUUGAGAGUGCUCGGGCAGCUCUCGUCGGUCUGUUCUCUGGCCGGAAUCUCGGGAAACAGGUGGUUGCAGUUGCUUCUGAAUGAAUGAAGGAUUUGGUUGUUUACAUCAUGCUUCUACUCGUCCAUUUAUUUAAUAAAAUGGUUACGCUCAAUGAGUGUAAUUUUUAUGAUGCUAAAUUAAAUGUGGAAUGUGGCUGCUGGUUUGAUAAUGUUAAAAGUGCUAAAAAAUUUCAUGUUAGGCGCGGUGUGCGUCUGUAUAUCAUUUUUAGGUACGGGCAUUCUAUCUUUUUUUUUUAAUUAAUACAGACACAUUCUUAAACUGUAUGGUUUAAGAGAGAGUUAAAAAAAACUUUUACCACAUGGUUUAAAAGCGUAUCCGUAUGGAAAAAAAAUGAAAGUCCAUUGGAGAAGAAUUUUAUAUAUAGUCCAGGAUAUUAAAGUGCGGGAAAACUAUAGAGUUUUAAAAACUUAAAAUUUAAAACGUUUAAACUGCACGAUUUAUGUGUUUUUCGAUGUGAUCCCACAUUUUAAAAUUGUGGAUUGGAACAUUUGUCUUUGAGGGAAAAAAAACAAUAACAACAACUUCUUUUGGAGACCGUGGGGCUCAUAUGCAGAUUCAACCCCGAGCUAUACACUGGAUCUGGUGGGCUAGGUUUGAACCCAAAACAAGCUCUAUUCAUUACACGGUUCAGCGGGUUGGUCCAUUUGACGCUUCUAACUUAACAAUUUAAUCAUAAUAAAUUGAAAAAAUAAAAUAAAACCCACGUAUCUAAAUUAUUGUAUUGAGCUAUUGGUGCAGAGAAUAAGUAUAUAUGAGAACAAAAACAACACGAUGUAGUCGCUCGUUUUGUCACUUCUAAAAUCAGGAUUUAGAGCAUCACCAAAAGGCUCUUCAAAUAAGAUUUUAUUACUCAUUUGAAGAGCCACAUCAAUAUUUAAAGCUCCAAAAGACACUCUAAUUAAGAUUCUUCAAAUAAGAAUUGAUUCUCUCUCUUCAAAUUUGGAGAGUUAAUUUCUCCCUCUUCAAUUUAUAUUUUAUUACUUUUCAUUAAAAAAAGAGAGAGAAGUGCUUUAAUUGCUAUUGACUUUUCCUUUUAAAAACUAAUUAUAUGAUUAAAAUAAUAUUAACUUAUUUCUAUUUGAAGAGUCUUUUGGAAAAUAUCAUAUUUUUUCACCCUUCUAUUUGCCACAUAGGUAAGCAAAUAGAUAUUUGAAGAGUAAAAUUUAUAGAGGCUUUUGGAGAUGCUCUUAUGAUAGAGUCAUAGUGUUAACAGUACAUCGGUGUAUAAUUAUUUGUAAUGAAAUUAAUUAAUAUGGGUUUUAUGUUGUCUUUGUCAAUAAUCAAUUAAAUUUUUCGUUUUCAUUUAAAUGUUACUGAUCGAUGAAACAUUUGACUGCGUUCAAGUUAUCUUUUAAUUUUGUGAGAUCCACAUUGUUUUUAUUUCAAAAACAUAAUUUUUCAUAUUAUUAAAAAGCUGUUGCUUGGGCCUAGAGAAAUUGGAUUAAUGAAAUACCUUAAGGGUGUGUUUGACACAUUAUAUUGUAUUAUGUUGCAUUGCAUUAUUUUAUUUGGUGUUGCACUAUACUUUACUAAUUUUUUUGCAAUUAAUUUAAAUUACAUAGUUAGCAAAUAAUAUUUAUUAGUGCUUAGAAAAAUACUAAAUAUAGAAGUCUUAAAUUUUAGAAAUUUAACAAUUUUUUUACUAUAAAUGUUAAAAAAUAUAAUAAUUCUUCAUAAAGAUGGAAGCUUACAGCCUUAAGUUUUUGGAAGCAGAGCAUUUAUUUUUUAGUAUCUUCUAAAUAUAUAAUUUUUGAAAUAAAGAUAUAAGCACAUAAUUUAAUCACAUAGUCUUUAAAUAAUAUAACAACAUAAAUAAAUAGUUAAAAUGUGCAAGAUUAGUUCAAAACUCAUCUUAGGAUGAUAUAAUAAAAGUUUAUACACACCACAAGAUAAUCACAAAAUAAUAAAGUGAUAAAAUUAUUAUAACAUAUUCACUACCAAAAUAAAUUAUAUUAAAUAAUCCAAGUGAGAGUUCUGUAGUUUAUAUAAUAAUAUUAUUUAUGUUAUUAUUAUUAAUUUUAAAUUAAUAUUAUCCAAAUUUAUUCAUACUUAAAUAUGUAUUAUUAGUUAUAUUACAUUAUUUUUACAUAUUAAUUAUUGUAAUAUAAUUAAAUAAUGUAAAAUUAUAUUAUAUUUUUAUAUACUAUUUAAGUAUUUAUUAUUAAUUAUAUUCAAUUAUAAAUUUAUUAAUAAAUUAUAGUGCAAAAAAAAAUAGAAAUAAAAAUUAAUAUUGUAUAAUAAAUAACAUUCUGCUCCCAAUUUCUGGAUUUUAAAUUCCAAAAAUAGUAUUCACGUUCGCCACAUUCAAAAAUCCAACCUGGGCUUGGAGAUUCGAUUCAUCUCAUAGAUUAAUUUUAUAAACUAAUGUUUAGUGAAAAAUUAACCUUAAUGGGUCCUCCUCUCCAGGCCUAAUUCUUAAUUUUUUUUUUAAUUUGGUCCUACUUAAGUGGCUUCUAACGUUACCGUGUCUUUAUUUUGUGUACAGUUGUUUUACUAAUUUGUCAUUUAGUGCAAAUAACAGCACUCAACUUGUAAUAUCCAGUAUCCACAAAUCAGCCACUUCGGCCAAGGCCGAAGUGGUGGGCUGCUGCCCUCACAAUGCUUGUGAGGGCAGCGGUUCUAGCCCCCACAAAAGCAUUGUGGGGGUUAAAUGUUCUUUAUAUUUCCAAAAAAAUCCUUCUCUCUUGCAAAAUGUAAGUGGAGUAUGGACAUCCCUCUCCUGUGAGGGGUUAUUUGUCUGGGCAUGUACUUCAUAGAAUUCAUUGUAAUAAUGUAAGUCCCAAUCAUGUAUAUCUGAUUGUAAAUAUCAGUGUAAUAUCUCUGCUACAAUAAGCAGUUGUUGUAAAUAUCUGUCUGAUGAUUAAUCAGUAUUCAAAAAAAAAAAAGUAUCCACAAAUCAUGAACUCAUUUUUUAGUUCUUUCAUGUGUACUAACAUUCGUACAAAUAUACAAUAAGUUCAUAAUUUAGUCCAAGUUGACGAGAAAUUCUUGACCCACCCCUAAAUAUCUGUCCGCCAAUAGCGUGAAGUGGCCGGCAUAAAUUUAAAGCAGCUGGGACAUUGUAACUCAUCCAAAGAUUGUAUAACAUCUCUUUUUUGCUUUAUCGUUUUUCUCCAGUUGCAUAGUUUCUUAUCCUACCGCUUUAAAAACAAUUAUUCCUAGAAAUUUUCAUUUAUCUAAUGAAUUUUAAGAAUUUUUUCAGCAAACAAUUUUUACUUUUUUUUUUUUUUAUCAUUGAUGGGUAAAGAAAAUAUUAAUGAAAAAUGAGGAGUUAUUGGCUGGUUCAACGGAUUAAUUGCAAUGAUAAAUACAGGGAGGAUUGGAUUAUAUGGCAAAUUUUUAUAGUAAAUGUAAUAUAUAUGCUAACACUUUUUAUUUAUGGCAAAAUAUCUUCCUCUUUUGAGACUUUUCCCUCUAAGAAAAUUGGAGGAUACGACAAUAUAUAUAUAUAUAUAUAUACUAAUAUUUAUCAUUUAUAGAAAAGUAUCUAUCCCACUUAAGAUUUGCCCCACUAGAAAAGGAAAAAAAAAUCCCUCAAAAUAAAAGAGCGAAAUGGAAACAGAACAAAAUUUGAUUUUGUGGAUCUUGUAUUGUGUGAUAAGUCCGGCAUGCAAUUUUGGGCCAGCUUACCGUGCGCAUGGGAGCAUUCACAAAGUAUCUCUCGUCACUAUCGAAAACUUUUAACAGUCAAUACAAAUGCUUCCGUUUCAUCCCAUAAACAAAUAAAAUUCACAUCUGUACACAUCUACUUUGCUUUGCUAGAUAGAGUUCCUCUGCAUUUCCCAAUUGCCUAAAGAGAAGGGGAAAAGAAAAAGAGGGCCAAAAAAUGCCUGAAAUGGUAAGGAACAAGCAAGUGAUAUUGAAGGACUAUGUGUCUGGUUUCCCAAAAGAAACAGACAUGUACAUGACCGAAAGUUCCAUAGAAUUGAAGGUGCCAAAAGGUUCAAAUGGGGUUCUUUUAAAGAACUUGUACUUGUCCUGUGAUCCGUACAUGCGACCAAGAAUGACCUACAUCGAAGGAUCUUAUGUUGAAUCCUUUAAACCUGGCUUGGUUAGUGCACUCGCUCAUGGCCACGCUUUUCAUUUCCAUGGCUUCUUGCUCUUUUGUUAUAGAAAAUUUAUUUUUGGUUGCAGUUUGGUUCGACUGCUAAAAUCUCGUGCGAUAAUUGUAUAAGAUAUCUAGAGUUUGAACUUCUUUCACAUUAGGGUUCAAGGAAGUUAACUUAAAUGAUUUUCAAAAUUUUAAAUGUGUACCAAUGAAUUUAAUUUCAUAGCUUAAACUUAUUGUUUGAUCAUACUCUAACUUUGGACAGGAAAAUUAUAUUUUUCCUUUUGUUCUUUGACUUCGUGUAUGUUGUGUGAAGUACUUGUGCUUGAAAAUGAAUUGCUGACACAGAAAUUUCUAUGAAUGCAUGCAGCCCAUAAGUGGAUAUGGGGUGGCUAAAGUUUUGGAUUCAGAGAAUCCAGAGUUCAACAAAGGUGACUUGGUUUGGGGAAUGACUGGAUGGGAAGAGUAUAGUCUCAUUACGGCUCCACACUUGUUUAAAAUUCAGCACACAGAUGUGCCUCUUUCUUACUAUACUGGAAUCCUCGGUAAACUUUUUGUUUGCGCAAUUUAUGUGAGCAAAUUGUGUCUUCUUUUUCAUAUGUAAAUGUUUUUGAUAUCUUGAUGUGAAGGUAGAAAAUUGCAUGUUUUGAGUUUUUGCAUAUUUGAUGGAAACACAGAACCGUACCUGAAUAUUUCAGAACCCCCUUUUCUUUGAAGUUUGAACACUUUUCUUGAAUGUAUCAACUUUAUUUAUGGGAUAUGUUGCCAAAUUGGCAAAUCUAUUCGUUAUAAAACUUUCCUUUGACAGUUUAAUCUAAGCAGAUGUUAAUUCUGCAAAUAGAGUGUGCCUUAGUUUAGAUUGAUAGAUUUGUCUCCUUCUGUACAGUAAAAACUUUGAGCAUUUUCGCCAUAUUCUGAUCAAUACACUCCAACUAGUUAGUUCUUGAGGCGUUUCCUGGUUUCGUGGAGUGAGCCAAGAUGUAUACGUUUGCAAAUUGGCAAUGUCUUUUGCUUGAUGUGUUGUGAGUUGUGAGUGUCAAUAGGAAAGUUUCAAAGUGCGCAGUGCUCACUUGAGCACCCAUAUUACUUGGUGACCUGUUGCCUCAGCAAACAAGACCUCUGUUUUAUGAACUCCAAAAAGUUAUUCUGUUAAAAAGAUCGAGACAGAGGCCAUACUAUAUUUAUUAUUGCUAUAAAAGUGUCAAACAAUAUUCUUUAUUUAAUAUUCUAAACGAUUGAGCCAUUUAGUUAUGAUACUCUGCUGUACUGGGGCUAAUAAUCUAAGUCGGUUCAAAGUGGUAAAUUUAUAAAUUGAUAGGUAUGCCUGGUAUGACCGCUUACGUUGGAUUUUAUGAGGUCUGCUCUCCUAAGCAUGGAGAGUGCGUCUUCAUAUCAGCAGCAUCUGGUGCAGUUGGUCAGCUUGUGGGGCAGUUUGCAAAGUUAUUGGGUUGCUAUGUCGUCGGAAGUGCUGGAAGCAAAGACAAGGUAUGUAAUCUGUGUGAACUACUUGAUUGUUUCCAUGUUACUUUCAAACAUUUAAAUUAAAAAGGAAAUUUUCAUAAUCUUGCCUUUUCUAUGAUUUUCAACACCAAGGUUGAUCUACUGAAGAACAAGUUUGGGUUCGACGAGGCAUUUAACUAUAAAGAAGAAGCUGAUUUGAAUGCAGCAUUGAAAAGGUUAGCAUCAAUAAAUGCCUUAGCUUGAUGCAGCUUGAUGAAGUAUGAUACACAUUUCUGACCAAUAUACUGCGUUCCCUGAUCUCUUACUUGAAAUAUCUUGGUUUGAGAAUCUCAUGCCAAUGCCUUUAACAUUUUGGCAGGUACUUUCCUGAAGGAAUUGAUAUAUAUUUUGAAAACGUUGGUGGAAAAUUGCUUGACGCAGUGCUACCCAACAUGAAAAUCCGUGGUCGAAUUGCUGCAUGCGGUAUGAUCUCACAGUACAAUCUUGACAAGCCUGAAGGUGUGCACAACUUGAUGUAUCUUGUUUCGAAACGGCUUCGAAUGGAAGGAUUCAUUGUUCUGGAUCACUAUCACCUCUAUCCAAAGUUUCUGGAAAUGAUCAUUCCUCACAUCAAAGAAGGGAAGCUUGUAUACGUCGAAGACAUGGCUGAAGGUCUGGAGAGUGCUCCGGCAGCUCUCAUCGGUCUAUUCUCUGGCCAGAAUGUUGGGAAACAGGUGGUUGCUGUUGCUCCUGAAUGAAGAACAAGUUAGUGUUGUGUGUUCUUUUACCCUUUGACACAAAACUUCAAUGUUAAAGAGAGAAUGCUGCUCAUACUGCUUUAUAAAAUAAUCAAAUGAGUGCAAGUUUCAUGAUAUGUGCUGAAUAAAAAUAUUGGAAAUUAAGCAGCUAGCCUAGCUCCUUCUUGUAGUUGCAGUUUGAAUGAUGCUGCUGCACAACUGCUGCCGAAAAAAUCCUUAAUAGAUGAUUAGCAAGGUUUCAAAAAUAAAAAUAAAUGUUUGUGCAAUGUGCCGAAUAUGACAGCCACAAAGAAAGAGCAUACAAAUUGACUGGUUUUAUGUCUUCUCUAGGAGAAAGCUACAAUACAAGAAAUUGUAUUGAUGCCAUGGACCAAAUUUCUUAUUUAAACUUUUAAUUUUUUUUUAUUAAAAUUACUUAUGUUAUUAUGGUUUAUAUUUUUAGAAAUUCUUUAGAAAUUAAUACAGAACUAGUAGCAAGUUGAGAAAUCUAAUGAAUGGUCGAGAUAUGAUCAUGUUUAUUGAAUUAAAUUGACAAUCAUCAUUUUGAUAAAUUAUUGUUAGGAUAUUUGAUUCAUCACAGGUGUAAGUAACUAAAUGUGCUAAAAAAAAAGUUAAUGAGUUGUGAGUGUUUGAUAUUCGUUUGUUGUAAUUCUUUUAAUAAUUGUUGUGGGAAAAAAAUUAUGGUAAAAAAAUUAUAAUUAUAAAAUAAAAAUUAAUAAUAUAUUAUAAAUAAAAUUUUUAAAUAAUAAUUUUAAUAAAAUAAUAAAUAUAUUAUGAAUUUUUCAUUAUAAAUUUUUAAGUUAAAAUAAUAAAUAUUUAUUAAAUAUUUUAAUAGCACAACUUUUAAAUUAUAACAGUACAAUGUAAAUACCAGAGGUCUUAAAAAAUAAAAUUACAGUCAAGUUUUAAAACUGUUAAUAAUGCUAUUCAUAAAGGCGCUCGUCGUGUAAACAACACAUGGGACCCAACCAAUAAAUGUUUAUGAUCCUCAACUUUCCUCCUCACCGUCCCUGCAAACAAUUCUGAUUUUCUUGUCUGAGAAAAAAACUGAGAAACAAUGGCGGCCGAACAAGAAGCUGUGAGCAAUAAGCGGGUGAUUCUAAGCAACUAUGUGACAGGUUUUCCAAAAGAAUCGGACAUGAAGAUAACAUGUGGAUCAAUAAAACUGGAGGUAGCAGACGGUUUAAAAGACACGGUGCUUUUGAAGAAUCUUUAUAUUUCUUGUGAUCCUUACAUGCGAGAGCGUAUGAGCAAGCUUGAUAGACCUUCUUUUGUUGAUUCAUUCCAUCCUGGUGAGGUUAGUUCAUCACGACCCAUCUCUUGAUUUUUUUUUUUUUUCAUUUGCUUCAAGUUUUGAUGAGUUUCUGAGGUCAUUUGUACGGUUUUGGAAUGUGAACACUAUUAGUGAUUUUGGGGCUGUAACUGUCAUUAAUGAUAUGUAGUAAUUCAAUCAGAAUUUGGAUUUAGUGCUGAUAUGAUCUCUGCUCAUUUUUUAAAAUCUUGUGUCCAGAUGCAUUUUUAUAAUCUUGUACGGUUGAGAUUGUAAGUAGAUUAAUCUACGUGCAGUAUUCUUGUCUAAUGACUACUAACCACAACCUUAUGAGACGAUCGAAACCAAGCUCAGAUCAAUAAUCCAAUUGAGAGAGGGUCCUAACUCAAGCUUAUCGUGUGUAGGAAUAUUUCGGUUAAAUUGUAAUUCUUUUAAUAAUUGUUGUGAAAAAAAAAAAGUUAUGAUAAAAAAAUUAAUAAUUAUAAAAUAAAAAUUAAUAAUAUAUAAUAAAUAAGAUUUUUAAAUAAUAAUUUUAAUAAAAAAUAAUAAAUACAUUAUCAGUUUUUCAUCGUUAAUUUUUAAGUCACAACCACAAAUAUUUACUAAACACUUUAACACCAUAAUUAACACCACAACUAUUGAAUUAUAACUGUACAAUCUAGACGCCAAGAGGCCUUAGUAUGAAAAAAAAAAAUUACAGUUAAGUUAAAAUUCAUCAUACAGAUGUGCCACUUUCAUACUAUACCGGGAUCCUCGGUAAUGAUUUUUGUUACACAAUAAGAUUUGCUUAUAGUAAUAUCAAUACAUAUGCUGCUUAAAUGCUUUCUGAUUUUUUGCCGGCCAUUGUCCAUUUUGCCAGGGAGUCUAUAAUUGAAGGAAUUUACUGAAGGAAUGCUGAUUGUUGGGAAUUUGAUUAUUCUAGGUAUGCCUGGUGUAACUGCAUACGCUGGUUUAUACGAAGUUUGCUUUCCGAAGAAAGGAGAGUAUGUCUAUGUAUCUGCAGCAUCUGGAGCUGUUGGUCAGCUUGUUGGACAGUUUGCAAAAUUAGCUCGUUGCUAUGUUGUUGGAAGUGCAGGAAGCAAAGAAAAUAUAGCACCGUGCCUUCUAGCAGAAUUUUACUUGCUUUAUGUUCCAACUAAGCAUCCAUAUUUGAUCAUGAUAAUUAGCAAGGUCAAUAAUUUUUUUUUGACUAUUUUUUCAACGUAAGGUCGAUUUGUUGAAGAACAAGUUUGAACGAUGCUUUUAACUACAAGGAAGAGCCUGAUUUGGAUGCAGCACUCAAAAGGUCAGCUGCAACAAACGUUUCAACUCUAAUAUUUCAUUUUAAUAUUACAGAGCUUUGGUUGAAGUGUGUGAGUUGAUCCCAGAAACGUAACUUCAUCAGUGUCUCUGUUUUCAAAAAACAGGACAAAUAGAAAUCUGAUUUUGCUUUAAAAUUUCCCAGAUGCUUCCCUCAAGGAAUCGACAUAUAUUUCGAAAAUGUUGGGGGAAAGAUGCUGGACGCAGUGCUACUCAACAUGAGGCUCCGGGCCGCAUUGCAGUAAGCAGUAUGAUCUCACAGUAUAACCUGGAAAAACCCGAAGGCGUUCACAACUUAGAGCAACUGAUCGGGAAACGGAUUCGCCUGGAAGGAUUUCUAGCUGGUGAUUACUAUCACCUCUAUCUGAAAUUCUUGGAACUGGUCAUUCCUCCAAUCAGAGAAGGAAAGAUGCUGUAUGUGGAAGACAUGGCCGAAGGACUCGAGAAAAUUUCUCGUAACUGCUACACAUUAAACGCGUUUCACAUUUCCACUCUCUUUCUAUAAAUAAAUACGCACAUAAAAUUUCUCACCAUCCAAAAACAAAAUCUACAUAAAAAAUGGCGGGUGAAGAAGCAGUGAGCAACAAGCAGGUGAUUCUGAGCAACUACGUGACAGGGUUUCCCAAGGAAUCAGACAUGAAGAUAAUAACAGGCUCAAUAAACCUUAAGGUGCCAGAGGGUUCAAAAGACACAAUGCUUUUGAAGAAUCUUUAUCUUUCUUGUGAUCCUUACAUGAGAGGACGUAUGAGCGAGCUUGAUAAGCCUUCGUUUGUUGCCUCAUUCGAGUCUGGCGAGGUCAGUUACUUCAAUUCCCAUCUCUUGGUUUCAUAAUCUUUUAUGGUUUUAGAAGGUGUUUUAGGGAAACAUUGUGGUUUUGGUUAGUGGGCAUGAGUCUUUGAAGAGAUUAUAAUGUGUAGGACUAUGCAUGCAAUAAUAAGCAUAGGGGAUCUUGUUAGGAGAAGAUUCUCUUAGCAAAAUAAAAACUUUUAUCUUAUCAAAACAUAUGCAGGGAACUUAGUUAUGAUGUCAUGUUAGCAUUAUCUCUGAGGAUUUGAUUUCUUGAUGGGGAAAGGGGAAUUUAAGGUUACAUUAUUCAGCAAUGUUUUUUUUUUAAAAAAUUAUGUUCAAAUUAUGCAGCCUUUAAGCGGAUAUGGAGUGUCCAAAGUGUUGGAUUCCACGCCUCCAAAUUAUAAGAAAGAUGACUUGGGUGGCGUUUGUUUUUUAACUUAAUGACUUAAAGUGACUUAACUUAAUUAAUUAAGUUAAUUAGAGAUGUUUGUUUUUAUAACUUAAUGUGACUUUUUAAAUAAUUUUGACUUAAUAAAAUAAGCCAAUUUUAUUUACUUUUUACUUAAUAGAGACAUCUGAAUUAAGUCAAGUACUUUCUAAUGUCAAAAAUAUACAUGCUUUAUAAUUUAUUUUUCAUGUCUAUCCCAAAACUCACCCAUAGACAUUUACCCCACAUAAUAAUCUCAUCAUUAUUUUUUUAGCCGUCAUGAAAUCCCUCCUCACUUUGGUAUCAACUCCUCAACUAUUGAAGAUCAAAAUUACAUGCGACAACUUCGAGAUGAAUGGCAAAUCAACUGUUUCAAGCAUCUUAUUCGUUUUUUUUCUUUUUUAUAUUAUAUACGAUAAAAUUUGAAAUUUAUGGUAUUUUAUAUAUUAAAAUUCCAAAAUCAUUAUAUAUUCACUUGAAUAUAGUUUUACUUAUAAAUGUUAAAAUAUUGUGAUAUUUAAUAUAUUAUUUAUUUGACAUUCAAAUUUAAUAAGGAUACAAAUGUAAAAGUACAUAUUUUUCAGUUUUUUAAGUUGAAAAAAGCAAACAACUUAAUAAUUAUUUUUCGAGAUUCAGACGAAAAAACAAACAUAUUAUUCAGAUUCAGACAUUCAGAUCUAUUCAGAAUUUAGACUAAUUCAGGUCUAUUCAGAUUUCAGAUAAAAAAACAAACGCCACCUUGGUCCGGGGCUUAACCAGUUGGGAGGAGUUCAGUCUCAUCCAAUCACCACAACUUCUGAUUAAAAUUCUGGAUACAAGUGUGCCUCUGCCAUAAUUAAUUGACAGGUUGCUAUGUUGUUGGAAGUGCCGGAAGCAAAGAAAAGGUGAGUUUGCACCCUUAACCCUUACGCUCUAAAUAAAAACAUAACACCUUCUGAAAGAAUUGUGCAUAGAGAAUUUUGCAUGUCACAUUAUUUGUGUUCUAACUAAUCAUGGAUAUUUGAUCAUUAGUCUAACUAAAACUGACAUAUUACCACCUAGUUGACUGGUCUUUGAGAAAUGUUAGUUGAUAUAUGCUUGAAAUCAUACUUGUUUUAUUAGAUGAUUAUAUUAACCUGCUUCUUUUUCUUUGUGCUGUUUCUCGUUUGAUUACAUUUUCAACAUUAGGUCGAUCUAUUGAAGCACAAGUUUGGGUUUGAUGAUGCCUUUAACUAUAAGGAAGAGCCUGACUUGGAUGCAGCUCUUAAUAGGUUAGCACGAAUGAAUGCUUUAACCAUUUUUCUCACUUCAUUAUUACAAUGCGCUGAUUGAAGUAAUCAGUGUUGGCUCUGAAAAUGUAACGUAUACUUCUCUGUUUUCAUAAAACAGGACAAACAGUGAUCAGUGAUCUCAUUCGUUACAUUGAUAUUUUCUACCAUUGCCAUACAUAGUAUAAACUAGGAAUUCAGUUGCUUAAUAGAUAUUCAUUUCAGAGGGAAAUUUUCACUUGCAGCUAACAGAAUCAUGUUUGUGAUGUAUGUUUAUUUGGGAAAUGAAAGGAUUUGUUGCAUUAUUUUAUUCCAAGUUUGCUGAAAUCAUAUUUGUUUUCCCAGGUGCUUUCCUGAAGUUAUCGACAUCUAUUUCGAAAAUUUUGGAGGUAAGAUGCUUGAUGCAGUGCUACUCAACAUGAGAAUUUGUGGCCGCAUCGCUGUAUGCGGAAUGAUCUCACAGUACAACUUUGAGAAGCCUGAAGGUGUACACAACUUGAUGCAAGUAGUUGGAAAACGAAUUCGCAUGGAAGGAUUUCUUGCCAGUGAUUUCUACCACCAAUAUCCAAAAUUCUUGGAACUGGUUAUGCCGGCAAUCAAAGAAGGAAAGUUAGUAUAUGUCGAGGACAUAGCUGAAGGCCUCGAGAAAGCUCCAUCAGCCCUAGUUGGGAUAUUCACAGGUCAAAAUGUUAAAAAACAACUGGUUGUAGUUGCUCGGGAAUGAUAUGAUUACUAUAUGCUUUAAAAAGUGGACUUUGCCAUGCACUUUAAAAGCUUAGUGAAGAUGCCUUUGUCUUAUUUUUGAUACAUGUUAUGUUUGUUUGAUCAAGUUGUACUCAGCUAUAAAUCAAAGAUUCAGAACAUGUGUAUGAUACUGGUUUCUAAAUCAAUGAACGCGUUGAAAUGUUAGUGUUUUCACAGGAGAAUGCAAUUUAAUUCAUCAACAAUGUCCCAACAAGACCCUCAGAGCUGUAGCUUGUAAAGUUAAUUACGAUAUUUUUUUGUAAAGUAAAUUACCAUAUUUUUUUCUUUCCAAUAUAUUGCUUAUUUCAUAGAAAGUUUACAUUAAAGUCUCAUGUUUCUUUGAAAGGUAAGCAAGUGUGAACGUUUCAAUCUAGAGCUGGAAAAUGCAUUUCCGGGCAACUUACUUGAUACAUGAAGUUUUCAUCUCUGACCUUGAUGUUUCCCAUAGUUGCAUUCAUUUCAGCUGAUCUAUUUAAUUUUGUUUUCGAAGGAGUGACACAAAAUCUCCUUUGUUAAGGGGAGAAUUUAGAGUGGCUUUGACUGUUAGCAAAUAGCCUAAUGUAAGACUUAACCAACUUCCUGCCCUGUUGUAUGCUUAUGAAUUUUGAUAGAGCUAAGAGUUUGCAGAAGCUACUGUAUUAUUUGUCGUUAGAGGCUGUAAAAAUCAAACACAUUUAAAUUUCAAUGAAAAUUUACUGGAAGUAAAUUUCCUAUGAUCCCACAGGUGACUAAUUAAUGAGAACUUGACAAUGACAAAAGAAAGUCUAUGAACUUUGCAGGCUGGCAUGCCAAUAUUGACUGGGUGGCACCAUCCACCAUCUGCAAGUGAAUAUCAUUGUUGUUUAAUCAACAAGGUGGAGUCCACUGGGACCACACCACAUCGUCAGCCUUAUCUCUAUUCCUCAAUUUUCAGUAUUCCAUACAUCAAACCAAUUUCAGUUUUGUUAUCAAUUAUAAUUUUAUUGUUGGUGACGAUUCUGAUUCCUUUCUGACAAAAGGGAACCAUGGCUGCUGCUGGAGAGAUCUUACUCAACGCCUUCUUUCAGGUACUGUUCGACAGGUUGGCUUCUCGUAAUUUGCUCAGCUUUGUGCGUCAACUCCAAGGCGGGGUUGAUUCGGAGCUCAAAAAGUGGGAGAAAAAGCUGAAGAUGAUUCGGGCUGUGCUCUGCGAUGCAGAGGAGAAGCAACUGACUGACGAGGCUGUGAAGAUGUGGCUGGACGAACUCCAAGACUUGGCUUAUGACGCUGAGGACACUCUUGAUGAGUUUGCUACUCAAGCUUUGGAAAGCAAGUUGAUGGCGCAAAAUCACGAUAGUUCUGGCCAGGUUCUCAGUUUCAUCCCGGCUGGUUUGAAUCCGAAUGCUAUUAUGUUCAAUUAUAGCAUGGGGUCC
rnacentral:lncRNA from 1 species